UUGCAUAUUAACCUGUUCAUGCAUCAUUUGUGUUGUGCAUCGUGUGGUGAAUAUCGUGUGUUGAUUCUUGUUUCUAGUUUCCUUCGUCUCGAUAGAGUUCCGCAAUCGUGUCGGAAAGUGAGGACCCGUUCGACUACAUCGAUUCGUCUGCUUCACGGAGCCAUUCUUCUUCCAAGCGGGAUCUCAGCCAAGAUGACCAUUUCCCCAUAUAUCAUUACUAUCAUUGCCAUGCUAGUUUUACCGUUUCUAUCAUCAUGUCUCAUUGCCUACCACCUGUUAAAUAUCAGCCUCUCAACAAUGCCAUGAAAACCUUCAACCUAUUCACAACCUAGCAAACCACUGAUUGGCUACGUUACUGCUUGCUUAACCAUGUGUUAGCGUUGCUAGUUGCAGGUGAAGUUGCUUCCAUUGAUAACAUGGGUUCCUUGUUUUAUCACCAUAUUAAAUGUUAUUUAAUUUAAUGCACCUAUAUACUUGGUAAAAGGUGGAAGGCUCAGCUUUUCUAGCCUGAUGUUUUGUUCCACCUUUGCCCCUUUAGUUUCGGCUACCGGUGAUAUGUUCCAUAAUUGAGCGCUGCUAACACGAUCGGGGUUGUUAUGGGGACCCCCUUGAUAAUUCGUUUUAGAUUAAAGCUGGUCUGGCAAGGCCCAACUUUGGUACUACAUUUGCCUAAUAACCUAAUAAAAUUGCAUAGGGACUUACCAGACCCCGAGGCUAAUUAAUCAACCCCCGGGCCAGUGCUCCUCAUGAGUGUUGGUCCAAAAUGGGCAGACUCCGGGGCCACCACGUGGCAACUCGAGGUUUGGUACCUGUAGGCUUUCCCAUCCGUCGUGUCCUUAGAACGAGAUACGCGGAUCCUAUCAGGAUCGUCGAUACAUCGGGCGGCCUUGCUAGAUUAGUUUUACCUUUGAUGAGAUAUCUUGUGCAUCGGGAUUUCGGUGAUGCUUUGGGUAAUCUCAGAGUUGAGGUUUUCCACUAAGGAGUCCGACGAGAUUGCGACCUUCGUGAUCGAGGAUUUCUAUGCGGCUUGUGGUAAUUUGUGAUGGACUAGUUGGAGCACCCCUGCAGGGUUAAAUCUUUUCGGAAAGCCGUGCCCGCGGUUAUGUGGCAACGUGGAAACUUUGUUUAACACUGGUUCUAGACAACUUGAAGAUAACUUAAUUAAAAUAUGCCAAUUGAGUGUGUAACCGUGUCUGUCUCUUUCGUGAGUUCCUUCUCCGAUCGAGGACAUGGUGGGGUUAUGUCUGACGUAGGUAGGUGAUCAGGAUCAUUCAUUUGAUCAUCGGUAGUUCUCGUUCGUUAUGCGUAGAUCAUCCCNNNNNNNNNNNNNNNNNNNNNNNNNNNNNNNNNNNNNNNNNNNNNNNNNNNNNNNNNNNNNNNNNNNNNNNNNNNNNNNNNNNNNNNNNNNNNNNNNNNNGAAUUCCAAAUGUUCAUAUUGAGAGAGCUUAGCCUUGGAGAGUUCAUACUCAGGAACAGUUUGAGAUGAUGAUGACACAUGCUUCGAUAAAACCGCUGUGGCCGGUUUAGAGAAGCUGGUACCAGUGAUAAUUACAGCGUCCGGGUCUUCUGCUGUUGUCAAUGGACUUGGCGGCUUGGGGGCAUCCAUUGUUUCCUUGGGAGAGCUAGGGAGAUCCACUUGAUCCUCAGGUUUGUCUUGGUCUGGGUUAUCUUGGAUCGGCGCCGGCUCUUUGAUAGGCUCCGAGAUUAUGAUGGGAGUUGACCCGCCAGUUUUCCUUUUCUUCGCCUGUGCUCUGAAAGAGGAAAGAGGCGCGUUUAAGGACUGAAAAUUUAUCACCAUCAGAUUCAAAGUACAAAUUAUCGAAAGACUUACCCAGGGACACGGAUCAUUGGCGGAAGUGCCGACAUUACUGAGUCGCCAGAUGUAGGAGGAGAAUUCUGCAAGAGUUGUACGUCGAAGAUAUAAGCGGGUUACAAAUGCGAUCCAAAGAGACAUGAAGAAGUGUUGUUAAAGGAUACCUCAUUUGGCCUUUUUUUGCUCCUUGUUGGUAAACCGGACACCAGAUCACCGGAAUGACUUCGGGUCUUCCGAUUUGAAGUGUAUUGUGCUUUCUUCAGAAGAAAAUUUGGGUCCAAAUAAGCAUUUGGAUGUGAGAAGGGAACUUUCCCACAAAUUCGCCUGGCCGGCUUAGGUGGAGAAGGAGAUGAAUCGGAGGAAACAGAAAUUACCUCUACAGAAUCCUCCUGGCUUUCGUUGUCUUCAUUCUAUUAAAGAGAUGCAGAGGUAUAAAUACAAAGUUAAUAGUAAUGGAUGGCGAGUUAAGAGAAGAUAGGUUCUUACCUCUGAAGGUGCGUCGCCGACUUGGGAUUCAUCGGCCUCGGAUGGUUCAGUCACAGCAGCUUUGCUCUUGCCCUUGGUUUUCUUCUUUGGAGGCGGCCUAGCUUGCUUCAUGGCUGGCUUUUUGGGCUUCUUGGACCAAAAUUUAUCACCUUUCUGAAAUGGCAUGUGUUAUAAGAGGCCAUAAUUCUAAUGAGACAUAAGAAGUAAAAGACAAAAGGCAGGUUAAAGUUGCUUACCUUGGGUGUCGAAUUAAUAUUGCAGAAGGGUUUGAGACCUAUUUGGCCGCAUUUUCCCGCAGGCUCACCGGUCAACUUCUUGAUGAUGAUGACAAUAUCACUUUCCGUUAGAGCCGUGUGGAAGUAACAUUGAGGAUGAUGUGUAGUGUCGUCAAAUUCACACAUUAACCCGUCCCGGUGACUUAAAGGGAGGAUGCGCCAUUCGACCCAGCAGCGGAUCAAGUCAACCCCAGUAAGGCCGUUGUUUGUCAAAUAUCUUAACUCAGACAAACUGGGAUAAAAUAUGAUUCUUCUUCUUCGGUGAGCUUUUCCGGGAGCUUGAAAUUCGUUGGGAGGCGAUCUUCCCUAUAACCCAGAAGCUUAUUUUCACCUACAGGCGAGGUCUCUUGACAAUAGAACCAAGACUCGCCCCAGCCUUUGGGGUGGCUUGGCAUGGCGAGUGACGGAAAUGGGCUAUCUUUGCGGCGCUGAACAUUUACACCGCCGAGCUCCAAGCUGGGACCAUUGUGAAAUUAUGUUUGGCAAUUUAAGUGGAAGAAAUACCAGAAUAAGGGAACUGAGGGUUCCAUCCGCAGGUAAGCCUCACAAAACACCUGGAACUGGCAUAGGUUGCUUAUUGAAUUGCGCCCUAGAUAUUGGAGGCGGACAUUCAUGAAAGCCAUUGCGUCUCUGAGGAACUUCGAUCCAGGCGGCUUAAAACCCCGCUCAAGGUGUUCAACGAAAACAACUAUUUCCCCUUCUUUGGGAUUGGGGAUUUCUUCUCCGAACCCGGUGCGCCAACCGAUAACAUCGUGAGGGUCCAAAUUCCCCGUUUUCACAUAAUCCUCUAGUAUAGCAUCAUUAACCUUGGUAGGGAGCCAGUCACUUUUGAAGACGGCGCCCAUGCUACAAAGGGAUAAAGUACGGGUGAAUUGACACGCCAAAACAGCUAUUGUAAGAGGUGAAGCGAUUUCAUUUGACUCGCCAAGAAAUUUGUCCAUUGGUUGAGGAAAUUCUUUGAUCCGCCAAUGAAAUCCCGGGUCAGAUUGCUAUGGCGACUUACGAAGCUUUGACUACUUAAAGGAGCGGUGUUUCAUGGCGCCAGAGGCAUUUAUCCAAAAAUGGCGAAGUAUGAAGACUACAAACAGUUUUCACAUAACGAGCGGUAGAUUGUGGAUCUACUGGACAACUGAAAAUAAAUGCGGAAAAUAACCGGAUACGGCAACCUACGACCAAGAUGGGAUAAUGUUUAUGAUUUGGUGAAGUACUACUCUAACUGUGCAAAUCGAGAGCGGACAAAUAAGGGUAUUAGAGACAUUGGUUUUCUCGUCGUCAUCGAUAUCAACUAAUCAGGAACAAGUAACAACUAUUCAUGAAAGCGCCAAGAACAUGGCAGUGAUGAACUUCGGAAGAGAAUGGGGAUCUGCUCUUGAAUGAACGGAAACCUAACCUGGUUGAUUCGGCUGGAGAUGGUCGACGGCGAUGAAGGCUUUCGGAUGGGCGCAAAAACCACGGGCGGCGGCGAAGUAUUCGGCAGCGACAAAGUGUUCGGCAGCGACGAGGUGGUCGACGACGACGAGACGGCCGAUGACGGCGAACUGCUCGGCCGCGGUGAAAUACUUGGCGGCAACAAGGUCCUCGGGCGGCACCAAAAGUUUUUGGACGACGGCGAGAACCACGGUUGGUGGCGGAGCUUGCAGAAGACGAUGAGGGUUUUCGCUGCGGCAAUGGGGAGAAAAGGCAACAAGACUGGUGGGUGGAAUGCGCCCAGUCUUGUCCGCCCACCUAUUUAACAGGGCAGGCGCUGGAAUCGAGGCGCCACGAGCGGGAACCGCCAAAGGAUAAAGAUUCGCCAUGAUGGCGCUCCGAAAAUUUUGGGAUAACGAUACCAAGGGAUCCGUUGGGAUUACGUCAUUAUCUUUUCCGGAAUUCAAGGGAUAAGAAGAUACCAACGAGAAAUGGUUUGGCGAUUUAAGUUUUUCCACAACAGAUGGCGGGUUAAGUUCAUGGCGUAUGGAAGAGGAUGAAAAAUGAAUCGCCCUUAACUGAGCAAGAAUAUUGGCGUGAAGGAAAUUCAAGUCAAUCUGGGGCCUAAUGUUGGGGAUAUUAUCUAUUGGUAACCCGCCCUAGUUGGGCCGGGUCACCGAAUCAGGCAAUUCAUCUAAGCGUGGUUUGGGCCUUGGCCUGGCGAGACCAAAGGUUGUAUGGCGGUUUACAACUUCCGGAAGGUUUCCAAGCUUUGGAAGAUGGCGACUUAGAGAUCGUAAGAGUCAUGGUAUGUAGAAAGGAAAGUACCCUUGUGAACCCUAAGGACUCGGCCUGUAUAUAAAGGCGAGUCCCAGGGAAGAAGAGGGCAGGUUAGAAAUCAUCGAGUGCUAGGUCUGGCGAGUUACGCCCUCCUUGUAAUCGAAACUCCAUCAAUACAACUCAAAGCAAGACGUAGGCCUUUACCUCCUCACGAGGGGCCGAACCUGGGUAAAUCACCGUCUCAAUCCCGUUCAACCCCUUUGAGUCACCACCAAAGUGCGAUGGCUCCAAUACUAAGUCCUUCCACGAGGACAUCUGCCGUGAAAAAACCACGACAAGCAUGGUGGAAAUCAGUUUGCGAGUCUGAGUCAGUUCCUGUCGAACCAGCUAAAGACUUUCACUUCCUGUGAAAGGGGCAGGCUUCUAUCUGCUGGCAACAACUGAAGGACUCCAGAGGCGCUAGGGUGAUUUCUUGGGAUGAUUUAUGUCAUGACUUCAGGCCCCACUACAUCCCUUCCAUCUUUGUGGAGGAGAUGCGUGAGAAGUUCACGCGUUUAAAGCAGGGUGGCAAUUCCGUGUACAAGUACAACGUUGAGUUCCACGAGCUAGCCCGUUACGCGCUGCAGGAUAUCCCUGACCAAAAGAGCAAGAUUUAUCAGUUCAGAGGUGGAUUGAAAGAAGAUUUGCAGUUAGCUCUUGCCUUGCACGAUCCUGAGGAGUUCGACAAGUUCUACAACCUAGCUCUCAGAGCAGAGGCAGCCUUGCUCAGGGUGGANNNNNNNNNNNNNNNNNNNNNNNNNNNNNNNNNNNNNNNNNNNNNNNNNNNNNNNNNNNNNNNNNNNNNNNNNNNNNNNNNNNNNNNNNNNNNNNNNNNNAAACGACCCCGGGAGGCUAGAUGGGCCAAGUGUGGGAGGGAACCAGCCCCUAGGUGGGCUGGUGCGCCCCCCACUCAGCCCAUGGCGCANNNNNNNNNNNNNNNNNNNNNNNNNNNNNNNNNNNNNNNNNNNNNNNNNNNNNNNNNNNNNNNNNNNNNNNNNNNNNNNNNNNNNNNNNNNNNNNNNNNNNNNNNNNNNNNNNNNNNNNNNNNNNNNNNNNNNNNNNNNNNNNNNNNNNNNNNNNNNNNNNNNNNNNNNNNNNNNNNNNNNNNNNNNNNNNNNNNNNNNNNNNNNNNNNNNNNNNNNNNNNNNNNNNNNNNNNNNNNNNNNNNNNNNNNNNNNNNNNNNNNNNNNNNNNNNNNNNNNNNNNNNNNNNNNNNNNNNNNNNNNNNNNNNNNNNNNNNNNNNNNNNNNNNNNNNNNNGGGGGAACCCUAGCGCAGGUGGGCCUAAGGCCCACUAGAGGGGUGCGCCACCCCUCCUCCUUGCCCUGGCCGCCGCACCUCCCAUCUGGGGGGGCUGUCGCACCACCUAGGGUGGGAACCCUAGGGGUGGCACCCCCUCCCCUCCUCCUAUAUAUAGUGGGCACUUUUGGGCUUUUGGAGACACACUUUUCCCUCUCCCUCGGCGCAGUCCUGCCCUUCUUUCUCCUCCUCUCUGUCGGUGCUUGGCGAAGCCCUGCCGGGAAACCUCGUCUCUCCAUCGACACCACGCAGUCGUGCUGCUGGAGUUCUUCCCCAACCUCUCCCUCCUCCUUGCUGGAUCAAGGUGCGGGAGACGUCACCGGGCUGCACGUGUGUUGAACGCGGAGGUGCCGUAGUUCGGCACUAGAUUGGAAUCACACCGCGAUCUGAAUCGCCGUGAGUACAACUCCAUCAACCGUGUUCUAGUAACGCUUCCUCUUAGCGAUCUUGAAAGGUAUGAAGAUGCACUCACCCCUCUCUCGUUGCUGGUCUCUCCAUAGGAAGAUCUGAAUAUGCGUAGGAAAUUUUUUGAAUUUAUGCUACGUUACCCAACAUAGAUAUAGCACUAUAGGUGGAAUAGAGUGUGGUGGAGGUUGUGAGACAAAAAGGAGGAGAUGGUCACAUUGACUCGGCGUAUCAAAGGACUAUGGAGAUGCCCAUUAAUAGAUAUCAAUGUGAAUGAUUAGGGAUUGCCAUGCAAAGGAUGCACUAGAGCUAUAAGUAUGUGAAAGCUCAAAAGGAGAACUAGUGGGUGUGCAUACAACUUGCUUGCUCACAAAGACCUAGGGCAAUUUUGAGGAAGCCCGUCAUUGGAAUAUACAAGCCAAGUUAUAUAAUGAAUAUUCCCACUAGUAUAUGGUGGUGACAAAACGAGAGGCUCUCAAUCAUGAAGAACAUGGUGCUAUUAUGAAGCACAAGUGUGGAAAGAGAUAGUAGCAUUGUCCCUUCUCUCUUUUUCUCUCUUUUUUUUUGUUUGGGCUCUUUGGCCUCUUUCUAUAUCUCUCUUUUUUGUGGGAAAAUUUGGCCUCUUUUUUUAUUUACUCACAUGGGACAAUGCUCUAAUAAUGAUGAUCAUCACACUUUUAUUUACUCACAGCUCAAAGCUUAGAACGAUGAUGACUCUAUAGGAAAUGCCUCCGGCAGUGUACCGGGAUGUGCAACGAUCUAGCUUGGCGUCUGACGCUGAAACAUCUCGCUAGCUAUCUUACGAGAGUGAUGGCACAAGUCAUGAAAUCCACAAUUCAUCGGAUCUCGACAAACACACCGCAAAAUAAGAUUACAUCGAAUAGAUCUCCAUGAAGAUCAUGGAGAACUUUGUAUUGAAGAUCCAAUUGAGAAAAGAAGCCAUCUAGCUACUAGCUAUGGACCCGAAGGUCUAUGGUGAACUACUCACUCAUCAUUGGAGAGGUCAUGGUGUUGAUGAAGAAGCCCUCCGUAUCCGAAUCCCCCCUCCGGCAGGGCACCAGAACGUGCCCCCGAUGGGAUCUUGCGGAGACAUAAGCUUGCGGCGGCGGAAAAGUAUUUUCGUGGAUCUCUCGCGCAGUUUUGGAUUUUUCAGGAAUUUAUGGGCGGAAGAGGUAGGACAGACGACCACAGGGGGGCCACAAGCCUGCUAGGCGCGGCCCCCCUGGCCGCGCCUAGGGGGCUUGUGGCCUCCCUUGGUGGCCUCUGCCUUGGUCUCAUGUCUCGUGCGUAUCUUCUGUUCCGGAAAAAAUCUUUUCGGAAGUUUUAUUCCGUUUGGACACCGUUUAAAAUCCUCCUCUGAAAAGGGUCAAAAACACGGAAAAAAACUGGAACUGGCACUUGGCACUGAGUUAAUAAGUUAGUCCCAAAAAGAUAUAAAAGGCAUACAAAACAUCCAAAGUUUGACAAGAUAAUAGCAUGGAACCAUCAAAAAUUAUAGAUACGUUGGAGACGUAUCGAUGGUCUGCGUCGGAAACGGUUCGUAAAUAGGAACCAUGUGUGAUUAAUGUCAUUAUGAUAUACUCCCUCCGUAAACUAAUGUAAGAGCAUUUAGAAUAGUACUUUAGUAAUCUAUAAACACUCUUAUAUUAGUUUGCGCAGGAAGUAGUAUAUAUUUGAUUUCAAGUUUUGUUGGUAGCCUAGUUUAGUGCAUGUACGAAUUAAAAUCCCAACUAUAAUAUGUGAGUGUGAUGGGAGAGGUGUGGAUUGUCGUUCGAUUGCAGUGCAUCCUACGGUGCGCAUACGCGAUUCGUGUGGCUUGGGUUCUGGCCAAUGAGAACACAACCUAAAAUAGGGUGAACACACCCGGCCUUCACAAAGUAAUCGUGUGCCCAAACAAAUCACAUAGUUUUAAAGGGGGGCCUAUAUUUCCUAUACCUCUCCACUUGAUUUAUUUUCAACGAUCAUCAUACCCUACAAUGCAUUGUCUCCAAAUUUUACAUUUUUUGGACUCUUUUACUAUAUUUAGGCUUUUAUGUGCAUUUUCUAGGCAUUUUCAUCUUAUAAUUCAAGUUCGAAUGUUCUGUACAUGAAAUGGUGUUUAGAAAUGGUUCGAAAAAUCAUAAUUGUGUAAUUAAAUAACUUUUCAUGUAUUUUACAGGAAAUUUGUUCAAUUGUAAAGGAUAUGUUUGCGAAGAGACAACCACAGAUGUAUCAUUUAUUGGUUUUGUAACUCUAGAAAAAUAGAAAACAUGCAUAAAAAACAUGAUACGUCAUGAUGUGGUAAAUAGUUGAGGAGGUUUGGCUAAUGUCGUCAUACACACUCUUCAUAUAUCGAACCAUCACCUAUGAAGUUUCAUGGUUCGGGGAGUGAAAUCACCAUGUUUUAAAAGGGGAACCCAUAUUUCCUGUUCCUUUCAACUUUAUUUAUUUUCUACGAUCAUCAUACCCACUACAAUGCACCGUGUCCAAAUUUUAUAUUUUUCACACUCGUUUACUAUAUUUAGGCUUUUAUGUGCAUUUUCUAGACCUUCUGUGCUUAUAAUUCAAUUUUGGACAAUCUAUGCAUGAAAAAAAAAUUAAAAGGGUUCUAAAAAUCAUAUUUGUGUCAUUGAAUAACAUUUCAUCUAUCUUGCAGGAGAUUGAAAGAAAUUAAAAUGAUAUGCGUAGGCAGAGACAACCAUAUAUGUGUCGUUUAUGAGUUUUUUAAACUCUAGUAAAAUGGAAAACUUGUGUGAAAAAUGUGAUACCUUGUGUGGUGCCUUUGGCAUGACCUCAACAUGGUGUGUCAAACAUUUGAGAAGGUUUGGCUAAUGUUUCCAUACACACUCUUCAUAUAUCGAACCAUCACCUAUGAAGUUUCAUGGUUCGGGGGAGCGAAAUCACCAUGUUUUGAAAGGGGGACCCCUAUUUCCUCGUACUUUCAACUUGAUUAAUUUUCUAUGAUCAUCAUACCCAAUAUAAUGCACUGUGUCCAAAAUUUACAUUUUUCCGGGUUUGUUUACUAUAUUUAGUCUUUUGUGUGCAUUUUCUAGGGCUUUUGUGCUUAUAAGUUAAUUUUGGACAACAUAUGCAUAAAAAAUGUAAAAACGGUUCUAAAUUCAUAAUUGUGUCAUUGAAUAACAUUCCAUCUAUUUUACAGGAAAUUAACAGAAAUUUAAAUGAUAUGUGUGGGUAGAGGCAACCAUAUAUGUGUUAUUUAUGUUUUUUAAGUCUACAAAAAGGAAAACAUGCGUUAAAACAUGAUACCUAGUGUGGUGUCAUAUGUUGUGGUAAAUAUUUGAACACUAAGCAAAGUACCAUGUACUAUCUGAUAUUAUUAGUUUUUCAAAAUAUAGUUUUAACCACAAACGUUUUCUUACAACAAACCAUUUGCAAAUGUACGAUGACACAAUAAAGAAAAGGCUUGUAAUAUGCGUGCAAGAUCACUUUUAAUGCCGAGUUGUGCAUGCUAGAGCUUUGCCACCCUGCAAUUAUUUGCAGUGGUAGUUGCGUGACCACUUAAGUGCAUUGGCAACGCCACUGCGUCUGGUUUGUCGAUGAGACCGGGCGUGUGGCAGCACACAACAACGAUGACUCAGGCUCUCGACGACCACAUAAGUUCUCGAUGACGAGGUAUGCUCUCGAAACAUGCAUGCUUGCAAGCACAACUAGGGCGCGUGAUGGCAAAUUAAGUAGCAGAACGCGGACUACGACAUCGUAUAUAUCGAUAUCGAUUGCUAUAAAAAUGAACUACAAUAUACGGUUUUCCGGCCAGGUCCAUGAAGCUAUCUCCAUGAGUCAAUCAUGCCACCGUGUCGCACACUAACUGGUAAGGAAGCGAUGGCAUGCCGCGGCACCGAGUUCAUCGCGGCUCGUGGCCGCACACUAACUAAUAAGUAUGUGAUGGCAUCCCACCGCGUCGAGUUCUUCGCUGCCCGCGAAAGCACGCCAACUUGGGCGGACUAUGAAGCUACCUAUGCCGAGGCCAAAGUCGCACAUGCCAAGCAGAAAAAGGAAAAAAGCACGCAAGAAAAUAGAGUCCACCCAAGGUAGGAAAGAAGCGGCAACAUUCGUUGCUCAGGAGAGCUGGGAGGAGAUCCGAGCAUGGUCGAUUGCCGUCAGCAUGGCAGAGAAGGAGAACAACGACCUCUUGCCACCAUGGCCUGAUGCCUCCACCUGUCAUCAGGAUCACUGCGUUGGCUACAAAAGCCAUUGACGAGAAUUGACCGGAGAUCCAAGGAUAGUGUGGGAUGUUGCUGAUAAGGCCGAUAGCGAGGGCGUCUUGCUAGCAUCGGAGAAGUAGUUGGCGUGUGUGUGAUAACCCACAAGUAUAGGGGAUCGCAACAAUUUUCGAGGGUAGAGUAUUCAACCCAAAUUUAUUGAUUCGACUCAAGGGGAAGCCAAAGAAUAUUCUCAAGUAUUAGCAGUUGAGUUGUCAAUUCAACCACACCUGAAAGAUUUAGUAUCUGCAGCAAAGUAUCAGUAGCAAAGUAGUAUGAUAGCAACAGUAGCAACAGUAACCAGUAGCAGCAAAGUGACACCAGUAGAAGCAAAGUAAUAGCAGUAGCAGCAGAGUAAGAGUAGCAACAGUGACAACAGUAGCAGCAAAGUAACGUAGCAAGGACCAGUAGGAAAGACUCGUAGGCAUUAGAUCGGUGAUGGAUGAUUAUGCCGGAUGGUAUUCAUCAAGCAACAUUUAUAACACGGAGAGAUAUGUAACUAGCUCCAGUUCGUCAAUGUAAUGUAGGCAUGUAUUCCGUAUGUAGUCAUACGUGCUUAGGGAAAAGAACUUGCAUGACAUGUAUUGUCCAUACCUCCCGUGACAGCGGGUUCCUAAUGGAAACUACGGGAUAUUAAGGUUCUCCUUCCAAUAAAGAACCGGACCAACGCAUUAUCACUUAGUGUAUACAUGAACUCCUCAUACUAUGGUCAUCUCCGGGAGUGGUUCCGGCUAUUGUCACUCCGGGGUUGCCGGAUCAUAACACAUAGUAGGUGAAUACAACUUGCAAGAUAGGAUCAAGAACACACAUAUAUUGUCGAAAACAUAAUAGGUUCAGAUCUGAAAUCAUGGCGCUCGGGCCCUAGUGACAAGCAUUAAGCAUGGCAAAGUAGUAGCAACACCAAUCUCAGAACAAAGUGGAUACUAGGGAUCAAUCCCCGUCAAAACUAACUCGAUUACAUGAUAGAUCUCAUCCAACCCAUCACCGUCCAGCAAGCCUACGAUGAGAUUACUCACGAACGGUGAAGAGCAUCAUGGAAUUGGCGAUGAAGGAAGGUUGGUGAUGACGAUGGCGACGAUCUCCCCUCUCCGGAGCCCAGAAUGGACUCCAGAUCUGCCCUCCAGAGGAAGAACAGGAGGUGGCGCCUCCGUAUCGUAAAAUGUCAUGAACUCUUCUCCUUGAUUUUUUUCCGGACGAAAGGGACUAAAUAGACCUGAGAUUGGAGGCGGUGGAGUAACGUGGGCCCCACAAGCCUGACAGGUGCGGCCAGGGGGGCCCGCACCUGGUGGGCUUGUGGGCUCCACGCUCCACUUCCUCCGUUGAUUCUUGCGCCAGUAUUUUUCAUAUAUUCCACAAAAAAUCUCCGUAAAUUUCCAGGUCAUUCCGAGAACUUUUAUUUCUGCGCAAAAACAACACCAUGGCAAUUCUGCUGAAAAAAUCGUUAGUCCGGGUUAGUUCCAUUCAAAUCAUGUAAAUUAGAGUCCAAAACAAGGGCAAAAGAGUUUGGAAAAGUAGAUACGGCGGAGACGUAUCAACUCCCCCAAAUUUAAAACCUUGCUUGUCCUCAAGUAAUUCAAUUGACAAACUGAAAGAGACAAAAGAAAAACUUUUAUGAACUCUGUUUGAUCUUGUUGUUGCAACUAUGUCUAACUCAUAUCGAGAAUUUCACCAAGAUCACAAGCUAACCACAUAAGAAAACGACAUAUAGGUCUCACGGUAAACUCAUAUCAACGGCAUAAUCAACUAGCGAGCAAAUAAUAAUAAGUCUCAAACGUCAACACUUCAAUCAAAACAAUCAUGAAGCAGUACGAACAAAUGGUAUCUCGCUAGCUCUUUCUGAGACCGCAAAACAUAAAUGCAGAGCACCUUCAAAGACCAAGGGCUGACUAAACAUUGUAAUUCAUGGCAAAGAAGAUCGAGUUGCAGUCAUACUCAAUAUCAGUUAAAAGCAAAGCAUAAAAAUGACAGAGGUGCUCUCUAAUUGGUGCUUUUAUAAGAAGAGGAUGACUCAACAGAAGCAUAAAUAGAUAGGCCCUUCACAGAGAGAAGCAUUGAUUUGCACAGGUGCCAGACCUCAAGCUUUUAAAACAGAGAUAAUAAUUUUGGGUGGCAUGCUUUCAUUGUCAAUGCAAUGACUAAGAGUUCUCACCAUCUUCCACGCUACACAUGCUAUACGAGGUUCCCAAACAGAAAAGUAAAGUUUUGACUCCCCGACCAUCGAUCAAUCACACUCCACGACUAGCCGAAUACUCGAGUGCCAUCCAUACCAACAUCAAUCCAGGGGGAGUUUUGUUUGCAGUUAUCUUUUUGAUUUGAGCAUGGAACUGGGCAUUCCAAUUACCGCCCCCUUUCUCGUGGGUGAUAGUGAAUAAACACAUAUCAAGGAUAACACGCCUAGCAUGGAAGACUGAUAGCCCCCUGUCACCACAUUAGCGGUUCGGGCAUGCAAAACAGAUUAUUUCUUGAAGGUUUAGAGAGUGGCACAUGCAAAUUUACUUGGAACGGCAGGUAGAUACCGCAUAUAGGUAGGUAUGGUGGAGUCAUAUGGAACAACUUUGGGUUUAUGGAAGUGGAUGCACAAGCAGUAUUCCCGCUUAGUACAAGUGAAGGCUAGCAAAAGACUGGGAAGCGACCAACUAGAGAGCAACAACAGUCAUCAAAAUGCAUUGAGAUUAACCAACAUUGAGUGCAAGCAUGAGUAGGACAUAAAUCACCAUGAACAUGAAUAUCAUAGAGGCUAUGUUGAUUUUGUUUCAACUACAUGCGUGAACAUGCGCCAAGUCAAGCCACUUGAAUCAUUCAAAGGAGAAUACCAUCCUAUCAUACUACAUCAUAGUCAUCUCAAAAUCCAUGUUGGCAUCCAAGGCAAACCAUUAUAAGCUCCUAGCUAAUUAAGCAUGGCAUCAGAAACUAUGAUCUCUAAGUUGGCAUUGCAAACAUGUUUCUCUCACAACAAAGUUGAACUACAAACGAUGAGCUAGUCAUAUUUACAAAAACAAAAUAGAUCGAGUUCAUACCAGAUUUUCCAGGCUCAGACACUUCAUCAUAUAUCGUCAUUAUUGCCUUUCAGUUGCACGACCGAAUGAUGUGAACAAUAAUAAGAGUGCUCGUGCAUUGGACUAAGCUGGAAUCUGCAGUCAAACACAAAGGAGAGGACAAAGUAAUAUGGCUCUUUGACAGAUAAACAAAUAUGCAUGUGAGAGACACUAAACAUUGUAACCUUGGUCUUCUACCUUGACCCAAAGAAAAAGAAAACUAUUUACACGGGAAAGCUCCCAACAAGCAAAAGAAGAAGAGAAGAAAAUAUUUUUGGGUUUUUCUCAAACUAGACAAACACACGAAAAGAAAACGAGAAAAAUAAAUAAACUAGCAUGGAUGAUACAGUGGCAAAGUGUGAACACCGACUAACAAAGUGAAAGCGUAAGCAAGAGUAUAAAGUCGGUGAGAAACACGUACUCCCCCAAGCUUAGGCUUUUGGCCUAAGUUGGUCUACCCCCAAGGAGGGAAAUAACCAGCUCCGGGGUACUCCGGAGUGUACUGAGGAUGCCACUGCAGUGUGAGCUCCUCUGGCUCCCACUGAUAAACUGGCGUCUGGUACUCGACUGGUGGCUCGGGCACGGGCACCUGUGGUUGGGCUAUGCCCCAAUAUGCGUAGAUGUACAAGGGCAUAAUAAUGUACCUGCAUGCAUGAAGAUGAACAAAGAAGGAGCAGGCAAAGUAAUAGUAUCACGAGUACCCUGACUAAAUACCAGGUUAUAAAUCAUCCUUCUAUUUAUAUCUCUAUCAAGAAAGUCAUGGCGAACCAUGCUAUCAUAAUCUAGAUAUCUCUCAGGAAGAAGACUUCUUCCUCGUGCAGUCUAAUAGGUAUCUCAAAAUUUCUAGCAAGACGAGUAGCAUAGAUACCUCCAUAGACAACGCCUUUAGAACGGUUCGUGUUCAACCGUUGAGUUACUAUAGCGCCCAAGCUAUAAGUUUUAUCAUUAUAAAGGGCUUCGCGCAAGACCGCAAGAUCUGGGGAGCUAAGGGACCCAGCUUUCCCACGGCCAAUCAAACAUUUUCCCACAAAUAAUGAGAAGUACCGAAGCACGGGAAAAUGUAUGCUAGCAGCUCUAGCGCAAGACACUCAUCUCUCCUCUCCUACAGCAAUUGUAUCUAUGAAAGCCUCCGAGUUCCGUGGACGAGGUUCAUGAAUUUCCCCAACAAAAGGCAAUUUGCAAACAUUGCAAAAAUCCUAGAGUGACAUGCGCUGGGGGAUAUCAUAUAAUUUGAACUCAACUAUAGGAGGAUUCUUCUUUGGAUAGAAAUUAAAUCUUUGCACGGAAAUAUUAGUGAGGAGGAGCUAUUGCGGACACUUAUCUUCAAUGAAGGCGGUAAGGCAUGCAUUCUCCACCAAGUAAUAAAAGUCCUCAUAAAGUCCGGUGGCGCGUAAGAACACAUCGCUUGGCCACUCGCACACUCGAACUUCUGCAACUCGAGGGACCGGAUACUUGGGUUUCUUCUUCUCACUUUCAUCAUCCUUGGGGUCACGGCUUGAAGAGCCUAUUAAGAACCUCCUCAUCUUUUCCUUUUUCUACCUCUGAAAUUUUCUGAAAUUUUAGUGAUUCUAAGGAAAAGUGAACAAGGCUCAACGAAACUCGUAGCAACUACUCCCACAAGUGCCUAGAAGCCCUAUCACGCAUCAAAACUACUUGGGACCAGCUAAAAUUAGCAUGCAAAGCUCAAGAACAAGGUCACCAAGGCAGCAAAAAUACGCGAUGUAUAAGGCACUAGAGCAAAAACUAAUUGAACCAAGGGAGGAGUGUAACACCCAAGAUGCGAUGACAUCCUCAAUUUGGCACGAGAGCCACGUCAGGGAUAGAAGCGCAUCUCGUCGUUUCGCAAGAAUGGAUAUCGUUACAAGUACAUGUACUGAAAAGAUGAGAUAUAUGGAAUUGGCUUACACUCGCCACAAGCUACAUCAGAGUCACAUCAGUACAAUACAUAAUCAUCAUGAAGAAGAUCAGGGUCCGACUACACACGAAAACAAACGAGAAAAGAAGAACGACGUCCAUCCUUGCUAUCCCAGGAUGCCGGCCUAGAACCCAUCCUAGAUCGAUGAAGAAGAAGAAGAAGAAGAAGAAGCAACUCCAAAUGACAAUCAACGCGCUCGCAUCAAGUAACCUUUACCUGUACCUGCAACUGCUGUUGUAGUAAUCUGUGAGCCAGAGGGGACUCGGCAAUCUCAUUUCCAAAGGUAUCAAGACUAGCAAAGCUUAAUGGGUGAAGUAGGGAUAGGUGGUGAGGUUGCAGCAGCGGCUACGCAUUAUAUGAGGUGGCUAACUUACGAGUACAAGAAAUAAAGAGGGGGAUGAUCUACGCAUAAUGGACGCGAACUGCCGAUGAUCAAAUGAAUGAUCUUGAUCACCUACCUACGUCAGACAUAACCUCACUGUGUCCUCGAUCGGAGAAGGAACUCACGAAAGAGACAGUCACGGUUACGCACUCAGUUGGCACAUUUUAAUUAAGUUAUCUUCAAGUUGUGCAGAACCAGUGUUAAACAAAGUUUCCAUGUUGCCACAUAACCGCGGGCACGACUUUCCGAAAAGAUUUAACCCUACAGGGGUGCUCCAACUAGUCCAUCACAAAUUACCACAAGCCGCAUAGAAAUCCUCGAUCACAAAGCUUGCAAUCUCGUCGGACUCCUUAGUGGAAAACCUCAACUCUGAGAUUACCCAAAGCAUCACCGGAAUCUCGAUGCACAAGAUAUCUCGUCAAAGGUAAAACUAAUCGAGCAAGGCUGCUCGACGUGUCGACGAUCCCGAUAGGAGCCACGUAUCUCGUUCUCAGGACACGAUGGAUGGGAAAGCCUACAGGUACCAAACCUCGAGUUGCCCCGUGGUGGCCCCGCAGUCUGCCCAUUUUCGACCAACACUCAUGAGGAGCACUGGCCCGGGGGUUGAUUAAUUAUCCUCGGGGUCCGGAAAGUCCCUAUGCAAUUUUAUUAGGUUAUUAGGCAAAUGUAGUACCAAAGUUGGGCCUUGCCAGACUAGCUUUAAUCUAAAAUGAAUUAUCAAGGGGGUCCCCAUAACAACCCCGAUCGUGUUAGGAGCGCUCAAUUAUGGAACAUAACACCGGUAGCCGAGACUAAAGGGGCAAAGGUGGAACAAAACACCAGGCUAGAAAGGCCGAGCCUUCCACCUUUUACCAAGUAUCUAGGCAUUUUAAAUGAGGUCAGAAAUGACAUAUAGCAUCUCCGGAAUGACUUCACAUGUUAAUUUACAAUUCUGUCCAGAUCUGAACUAACACGUUUAAAUAGUUUUUAAACAGCAAAACAAAUAGGUUCACGUGAUUCUAUGCGUAGUUACAAGCAAUUUACACAUAGAGAUCAUCCCCAACGGAGCUACGGUUAAAAUAUACGUGCAACACAUGAUAUUAUGCCAUGAAUGCAACAUGCAUGCAAUUUUAUUUAAGAGAACACUCUUCAAUCUCAUGAAAACCAAGAAUAUCACAUAAAUACUUUGGAAUCGCGGAAACACUAGCACCCAAAUCACACAAAGCAUUGCAUUCAUAGUUUUUGAUCUUGAUUUUGAUAGUAGGUUCCCACUCAUCAUGAAGUUUUCUAGGUAUAGAGACUUCUAGUUCGAGCUUCUCUUCAAGAGAUUUCAUCAUAGCAUCUACGAUAUGCGCGGUAAAGGCUUUGCUUUGGCUAUAAGCAUGUGGAGAGUUUGCAAUGGAUUGCAUCAAGGAAAUGCAGUCAAACAAGGAGCAACUAUCAUAAUUGAAUUCCUUGAAAUCCAAAGUGCGAGUUCCAUUACUACCCAAAAUUUUGAUUUCUUCUACUCCACUCUCCACACCUUUAUCAUCAAGAUAGGUGGACUCUGAAUCAUUGGGGCGUUUUUCAACCAAAGUGGAUUCAUAUCCAGCCCCUUCAUCAAUAGGUUUGACAAGCAAAAACAAAGAUUCAAGAGGAGUCACACCAAGCACUUUAAGAUCUUCGUGAUUUGCAUCACUAGAACGCAUCCUUUUAAACCAUUCAUGCCUAGCGCGAAUUUGGGCAGUUCUUUCUUUGCUCUCAUUCAUGGAGACAUGCAUAGCUUUUAAAGUUUCAUCCAAGUUGACCUUGGGAGGAGCACAUCUAACUUUCAAAGCAUCAAUAUCACAAGACAUCCUAUCAACGCUCUUAGCCAAAUCGUCUAUUUUGAGUAGUUUUCCCUCUAUGGACGCAUUGAAAAUCUUUUGAGAGUUGAUGAACUCUUUGAUAUUACUCUCUAAAUCACAGGGUAAUUUGUUGUGAUUUCCAUAAGUGUUGUUGUAGGAAUUGCCAUAAUUGUUAGAGGAGUUACUAGGAAAAGGCCUAGGAACAUAGUUUCCUCUAGAAGCAUUGUUGUUGCCAAAAUUGUUCCUACCAACAAAAUUAACAUCCAAACUAGCGUUCCUACUCUCAAUCAAGGAAGAUAGUGGCAUGUCAUUAGGAUCUAAAGGAGAAUUUCUACUAGCAACCAAAUUCAUCAACUCGUCCAUCAUAGCACUAAGCGAGUUAAUUUCUUCUAUAGCGUGCACCUUCUUGCUAGCAGGUGACCUUUCAGUGUGCCAUUGAGAGUAGUUGGUCAUGAUAUUGUCUAGGAGUUUUGUAGCCUAACGUGAUUUCCAUGAACGUUCCACCUGAGGCAGAGUCCAAUAUAUUGCGAGAAGCAAAAUUGAAGCCAGCGUUGUAUAAUCAUCCACAAACUCAAGCCAUGAGCGGGACAAUUUCUAAUCAUUAACUUCAUCCUAUCCCAAGAUUGUGCAACGUGUUCAUGAUCAAGUUGCUUGAAAUUCAUGAUAUCAUUACAUGGGGAGAUAAUCUUAGCCGGCGGAAAAUACUUGGAUAUGUAAUCAUCUUUGCACUUAUCCCAAGAAUCGAUACUAUUUUUAGGCAAAGAAGAAAACCAAGUUUUUGCGCGAUCUCGCAACGAGAAAGGAAAAAAGCUUCAACUUAAUCACGUCAUUAUCCACAUCUCUUUUCUUUUGCAUAUCGCAAAGCUCAAUGAAGGUAUUGAGAUGGGAUGCGGCAUCGUCACUAGGAAGGCCAGAUAAUUGCUCUUUCAUAACAAGAUUCAGCAAAGCUGCAUUGAUUUCAUACAAUUCCGCACUAGUGGCGGGAGCAAUCGGAGUACUAGUAAAAUCAUUAUUAUUGGUACUCGAGAAGUUGUAAAGUUUGUUGUUUUCAGCCAUGAUGACUUCAAAAAACAAACAAGCACACAAGCAAGCAAGAAAACUGGCAAAGGAAAACGGCAAAAAAGGCAAAAGGCAAAAGAAAACGGCAAAGGAGAAAGGCAAAUGAAAACGACAAAUGUGAAGUGGGGGAGAGGAAAACGAGAGGCAACUAGCAAAAAAGGUAAAUGAAAGAGAUGAGUUUGUGACACCUACUUGGAUAUAUCUCUCCUUCCCUGGCAACGGCGCCAGAAAUACUUCUGCUACUGCAACAAAAGACCUUCCAACGGUGCCAGAAACAAGCGUGUUGACGGGAGACUAUUCUUGUCUUGAUACUCCUGAGCAACGGCACCAGGAAUCCUUCUGCUACGGCUAUGCCUUUAGGGACCUUGGCAAAUAUGCAAAGGAUUCCCCUGUGGCCUUGGAGCCUUGCGUUGGUGUUCCCUCGAAGCGGAAAGGGCAAUGUAGCACAGUGGCGGUAAGUAUUUCCCUCAGUUUUGAGAACCAAGGUAACGAUCCAGUGAAGGAUUGUCACAAGUACCUGCACAAACACAAAGAGCUUGCACCCAACGCUAUGAAGGGGUUGUCAAUCCCUUAUAGAUUGUUUGCCAAGUGACAACUGAAAGCAAAAAGAAACAAAGCAAAGUAAAAGCGAAAGUGGAAACGAUAGUUGUGAAUAGACCCGGGGGCCCUAGUGUUCACUGGUGGCUUCUCUCAUGAAAGCAAGUAGACGGUGGGUGAACGAAUUACUAUCGAGCAGUUGAUAGAACCACGCAAAGUCGUGACAUUAUCUAAGGCAAUGAUUAUAUCUAUAGGUAUCACGUCCAAAACAAGUAGACCGAUACUUUCUGCAUCUACUACUAUUACUCCACACGUCGGCCGCUAUAUAGCAUGCAUCUAGUGUAUUAAGUUCAUGAGAACAGAGUAACGCCUUAAGCAAGAUGAAAUGAUGUAGAUGGAGAAUCUCAUAUCUACGAUAAAAGCCCAUCUUGUUACCCUUGAUGGCAACAACAUGAUGUGUGCCUUGCUGCCCCUUCUGUCACUGGGAAAGGUCACCACACGGUAUGAACCCAAAACCAAGCACUUCUCCCAUUGCAAGAAUUAUAGAUCUAGUUGGCCAAACAAAACCCAAGACUCGGAGAGGCUUACAAGGAUAUCAAAUCAUGCAUAUAAGAAAUCAGCAAAGACUUAAUAUAAUUCAUAGAUAAUCUGAUCACAAAUCCACAAUUCAUCGGAUCUCGACAAAGACACCGCCAAAGAGGAUUACAUCGGAUAGAUCUCCAUGAAGAUCAUGGAGAACUUUGUAUUGAAGAUCCAAGAGAGAGAAGAAGCCAUCUAGCUACUAACUACUGACCCGUAGGUAUGAAGUGAACUACUCACGAGUCAUUGGAGAGGCGAUGAUGUUGAUGUAGAAGCCCUCCAACUCCAAAGUCCCCUCCGGCAGGGCACCGGGAAGGGUCUCCAGAUGAGAUCUCGCGGAAACGGAAGCUUGCGGAGGAGGAAGGGUGUUUUCGUGGAUUCCCUGGUUUUUUUCUGGAUUUUAGGGAAUAUAUAGGCGAAGGAGCUAGGUCAGGGGGUGCCAGGGAGGCCACAAGCCUCGUAGCCGUCGCCCCCUAGUGGCGGCUAUAGGGCUUGUGGGCCCCGUGUGGCUCUCGUGCCUUGGCCCUCAAGUCCCCUGAUCUUCUUCCAUUCUGGAAAAAUUUAUUUCGGGGAUUUUAUUCUGUUUGGACUCCGUUCCAAAAUCAUAUGUGAAAAGAGUCAAAAACACAGAAAAAACAGGAACUGGCACUUGGCACUGAAUUAAUAAGUUAGUCCCAAAAAAGAUAUAAAAGGUACAUAAAACAUCCAAAGUUGACAAGAUAACAACAUGAAACCAUCAAAAAUUAUAGAUACGUUUGAGACGUAUCAACGGACAACUGAAUUGAAUUCACCGGAAAAAGAUAACCAGAUUGAAGGAAUGAUGAACUAGAGCUCCUGAGAAUCUUCACAAUGAAUCACCGGCUAAGAGAGAAAAGAACAGAUAGCAGAAGCAUCAAGGAAAUUAAAUGCACUUGGAUGAAAUCCAAUCACUGAAGAAAAAGGGCGGGAGGGCGGGGAAAAACAAAGACAACUUGGGACAGAUGAGAUGAACUCCGGAAUAAAAUGAGAGAAUGAUCUUGCAAAUCUUGAAAAGGAUAGAAUUGACUGAAGAGAAGCACACUGGUUGGAAAAGAAUUGACAAGAUGACUCCGGUUGAAAAAGAAUUGAUAAGACAACUGAUAGAGCAAAAGAAUUAGCAUUCCCAUACAAAUAUGAGAACACUACUUAGGAAAGAUCUGAAAUCACCAUUGACAUCGAAGCAACUUGAAUUACCAUAUUCCAACAAAACAAAGGAUACGGCUUACGAAACAAGCCAGAACAAACUCAUGAGAGAGAUUUCUGUUCGAUAUUUUCGUGGACAGGAUCGCACAGGCUCGAACCUUACAGUGGCCAUCCUGUUCAAGGCAGUGCACACGACAUACGAAGCAUCCCGGAGUCGUAGCAAGCUACAAGGACUCUUUAAGACACAACGAGAACCGUUGUAAGACGACCGUGAACAAACGAUUCCACUAGAUGUCGAACCCCAACCUAACAUCAUGCAUUUGUUGGAAGAUUGUCCUAUAAGUAACUACUUGAAUUCCCACCUAAGAAUUCCCGAAAUAUCUGGUCAUGCAAUGUGGUACACGGAUACAAGGAGUAAUAUUCACACAACUCCUAUACUAACCCGUCCAAUGUAUCACAUCCGUCAACACAUAACCAGAAUCUCGGACCUUCAUCUACUACAGACCCUCGUGAUCACAACGAUACAAAGUAUGGCAAUACUCCCGAACAAUCUUCACCAGUACUUGGGACAUCGGGGUUAUCUCGCCACUACUAGUAUUGAAGCAAUUAUGAACAUCCUUCGUUCUGAGAUACUAAGAAAUCUGAAUGAUAAAGAUGUGCUCGAGAAUCCCCUGGACCUCAACUCCCCCGAAGAAAUCAAGUCAGACAGGAGGCACCAAGACAGAACUCCGUCACAUCGACAUCAUAUAGAUUCCAAAAAUAUCCGUGUGAUCCUAAAAAAAAUUGAGUGAGAAGAGGAGUAGAAUUAAAUUAUUACGUCAAGAUUCCUCACGAGAGCAUAGAAGAGGAGAAAAAAGAAUCCUACUCUCCGAUAUAUAACUAGACUCAAAGCAAUUUUUCACUAGACUCGACUCGGCCAAGUUCGAUCAAUCAAGGGGGCUCCUAGGUCGGUACUUCUCUGAUACCAACUUGUAACGCCCAAGAUGCGAUGACAUCCUCAAUUUGGCACGAGGGCUGCGUCAGGGAUAGAAGCGCAUCUCGUCGUUUCGCAAGAAUGGAUAUCGUUACAAGUGCAUGUACUAAAAAGAUGAGAUAUAUGGAAUUGGCUUACACUCGCCGCAAGCUACAUCAGAGUCACAUUGGUACAAUACAUAAUCAUCAUGAAGAAGAGCAGGGUCCGACUACGGACGAAAACAAACGUGAAAAGAAGAACGACGUCCAUCCUUGCUAUCCCAGUCUGUCGGCCUCGAACCCAUCCUAGAUCGAUGAAGAAGAAGAAGAAGAAGAAGCAACUCCAAAUGACAAUCAACGCGCUCGCGCCAAUUAACCUUUACCUAUACCUGCAACUGGUGUUGUAGUAAUCUGUGAGCCACAGGGGACUCAGCAAUCUCAUUUCCAAAGGUAUCAAGACUAGCAAAGCUUAAUGGGUGAGGUAAGGUUAAGUGGUGAGGUUGCAGCAAGCGACUAAGCAUGUAUUUGGUGGCUAACUUACGAGUACAAGAAUAAAGAGGGGGAAGAUGUACACAUCAUGGACGUGAACUACUGAUGAUCAAAUGAAUGAUCCUGAACACCUACUUACGUCAAACAUAACCCCACCGUGUUCUCGAUCGGAGAAGGAGCUCGCGAAAGAGACAAUCACGGUUACACACUCACUUGGCAUAUUUUAGUUAAGUUAACUUCAAGUUGUCUAUAACGAGUGUUAAACAAAGUUUCCACGUUGCCACAUAACGGUGGGCACGACUUUCUGAAAGAUUUAACCCUGCAGGGGUGCUCCAACUAGUCCAUCACAAAUUACCACAUGCCGCAUAGAAAUCCUCGAUCACGAAGCUCGCGAUCCCGUUAGACUCCUUAGUUGAAAACCUCAACUCUGAGAUUAACCAAAGCAUCACCGGAAUCCCGAUGCACAAGACAUUCGUCAAAGGUAAAACUAAUCCAGCAGGGCCGCCCGACGUGUCGACGAUCCCGAUAGGAGCCGCGUAUCUUGUUCUCACGACACAAUUGGAUGAGCGCAACGUACAAUGGCCUAAUAGAAAUCACCCGAGUUGCCCCGGGUUGGCCCCGCACACGACUCUGUUUUGAGCUAGCACUUGCCCUCCUUGUAUUAUGUUGAAUUACUCCUCGGGUAGCGCUAACUCCCUAUGCUUUCAAUAUUAACAGAAUUAUUAUGUUGGGCAAAUAUAGUACCAAUGUUGGGCCUUUCCAGACCACCUUUAAUAAAAAACGAAUUAUCAAGGGGGUCCCCAUAACAACCCCGAUCAUGUUAGGAGCGCUCAAUUAUGGAACAUAACACCGGUAGCCGAAACUAAGGGGACAAAGGUGGAACAAAACACCAGGCUAGAUGAUACGUCUCCAACGUAUCUAUAAUUUUUGAUGGUUUCAUGCUAUUAUCUUGUCAAACUUUGGACGUUUUGUAUGCCUUUUAUAUCUUUUUGGGACUAACUUAUUAACUCAGUGCCAAGUGCCAGUUCAUGUUUUUUCCGUGUUUUGACCCUUUUCAGAGGAAGAUUUUAAAUGGAGUCCAAACGGAAUAAAAUCUGAGGAAUGAUUUUUUCCAUAACAGAAGACACGCGGGAGACUUGAGAACCAAGGCAGGUAGUCUCGGGGGAGGUCACAAGCCCACCUGGCCCGGCCUAGGGGGGGGGAGCUAGCAGGAUUGUGAGCUCCCCGUGGCUCCCCUGCCCUAGGUCUUCCGCCUAUAUAUUCCCUAAAAUCCUAGAAAAAAAUCAGGAGAUCAUCGAAAAUACUUUUCCGCCGCCGCAAGCUUUUGUCUCCGUAAGAUCCCAUCUGGGGCACGUUCUGGUGCCCUGCCGGAGGGGGGAUUUGGAUACGGAGGGCUUCUUCAUCAACACCAUGACCUCUCCGAUGAUGCGUGAGUAGUUCACCAUAGACCUACGGGUCCAUAGCUAGUAGCUAGAUGGCUUCUUCUCUCUCUUGGAUCUUCAAUACAAAGUUCUCCAUGAUCUUCAUGGAGAUCUAUCCGAUGUAAUCUUAUUUUGCGGUGUGUUUAUCGAGAUCCGAUGAAUUGUGGAUUUAUGAUCAGAUUAUCUAUGAAUCUUAUUUGAGUUUAUUCUGAUCUCUCUUAUGCAUGAUUUCAUAUCCUUGUAAUUCUGUUCGAGUUGUGGGUUUCGUUUGGCCAGCUUGAUCUAUGCUUCUUGCAAUGGGAGAAGUGCUUGGUUUUGCGUUCAUACCGUGCGGUGACCUCACCCAGUGAAAGAAUGGGUAGCGAGGCACGUAUCGUGUUAUUGCCAUCAAGGGUAAAAAGAUGGGGUUUUCAUCAUUGGUUUGAGAUUAUCCCUCUACAUCAUGUCAUCUUGCUUAAGGCGUUACUCUGUUCGUCAUGAACUCAAUACACUAGAUGCAUGCUGGAUAGCGGUCGAUGUGUGGAGUAAUAGUAGUAGAUGCAGAAAGUAUCGGUCUACUUGUCUCGGACAUGAUGCCUAUAUGUAUGAUCAUUGCCUUGAUAUCAUCAUGACUUUGCGCGGUUCUAUCAAUUGCUCGACAGUAAUUUGUUCACCCACCGUAAUAUUUGCUAUUUUGAGAGAAGCCUCUAGUGAACACUAUGGCCCCCGGGUCUAAUGCACACUAUAUUUUCAGCCCUACUCUUUUUCUUCGUUGCACUUUCCGCCUUCACAUCUCACUUUGCAAUCAAUCUUGAAGGGAUUGACAACCCCUUUAUAGUGUUGGGUGCAAGCUCUUUUGUGUUUGUGCAGGUACUUUGGACUUGACGAGAUUCUCCUACUGGAUUGAUACCUUGGUUCUCAAACUGAGGGAAAUACUUACUGCUCCUGUGCUGCAUCACCCUUUCCUCUUCAAGGGAAAAACCAACGCAAGCAAGUCUCCGCCAACGUGUCAAAUUCUGGUAGUGUUGUUUGAGAAGUAGCAAGAAGGAUUUCUGGCACCGUUGCCGGGGAGGAUCAAGUCAAGAACUCAUCCAAGUAAGUGUCGCAAACUCAUCUCUUGCAUUUACUUUUGUGCCUCUCGUUUUCCUCUCCCCCACUUCUGAAAAACAAAAAUUUACAAAAAGAUUUGCCAUUUUCGUUUGCCUUUUUCGUUCGCCCUUUUCUCCCGCUUGCUUUCUGUUCGUUUGUGUGGGAUAGUGUACCUGUCCUCAUGGCUAGAUCCACCACUUCGAACCAUACUCCCGAGAAAGAAGUUCUCAAUUUCAAACAAAUUGAGGGAGAAAACUUAAAGGACGCUUGGUAUAGGAUUUGCAAUGCUCAGAGUAGAUCUACUCAUAAGAAAUCUACUACCGUCCUACUUCGCAGCUUUUAUGUGGGUAUUUCUCCUUGGAAUAGGUAUAUUCUUGACACCAUCAUAGGUGGAAAUUUAUUGGGUAGCCAUACCGUUGAUUCUUACAGAGCUGUAAUAAAUUUGGUAGGUUCACCCCCACUCAUGGUUAAUGGAACUACCUUAACUCUGGAACAUGUGAUGCGUAGGCUGGAUGUCAUUGAAAAUAAAGUUGCUAUGAUCGAGCUUAUUGAGAAUUUGGAUAAAAAUAUCCACAAUCAAAUCACCCAGUAUGGAUCCAAGGUGGGAAUGGUUUUCAAAAAUUUAAAGGAGAAGGAACCCACAGUUAACGAAAAACUAGGUCAUGAUUCCGCUAGGAUUAGCAAACUAGAGGAUGUUAUAACCAACUUGGGUUCUGCUUUUGCCGCUUUGCAGAAUACUCCAAAUUUUGCCCACAAUAAGGUCACCAAGUCUAUUUUUGUUCCUAAAAAUAGUGGUGAAUCAUCUAGUAAGAAAGAUGAAGACCUUAAUAUGAUUAGUGAUCACGCUACUUAUGGUUUGAGCACCAAAGACGACGAUACAUGAUUCUAUCGCCUUAUGCCUAGCUAAGGGCGUUAAACAAUAGCGCUUGUUGGGAGGCAACCCAAUAAAUUUAUCUUUUUCUUUCGUUUUUGUUGCACCCACACCAUCAUAAUUCUGUUAUGGUUGUGUUUUUUGUGUUUUUUUUGUGUUUGAGCCAAGCAAAACCUUUAUGACUAUUCUUGGUGAUGGUUGUUUAAUCCUGCUGGAAAAAGACAGAAACUGUUCGCUCACGAGAUGAUUUUUAAUUUUUAUUCAGAAUGAGAUUUUGAGUUGAUUCUUUUUUCUUCUGGUUUAUAUUCCUUUUUCCCAGGCAGUCGUAAUUUUCAGAAUUUUUGAGGUACCAGAAGUAUACGAAGUAUACAAAUUGCUACAAACUGGUCUGUUUUUGACAGAUUCUAUUUUUGUUGAGUUGGUUGCUUGUCUUGAUGAAACUAUGGAUAUUAUCGGGGGGUACUAGCCAUGGGAAAGUGAGAAUACAGUAGCCUAACACCAAUAUAAAUAGAAAUCAAGAUUUCUACAGUACCUAAAGAGGUGGUAGAUUGUUUUCUUGUGCUAAUGUUAUCACGAGUUUCUGUUUAAGUUUUGUGUUGUGAAGUUUUCAUGUUUUGGGUGAUGUUCUCAUGGACAAAGAGAUAAGGUGUCACACCCCAGUUUUUGGCCUUCCUGACUAAUUAACUUAUUUCAAAAUUUAGGACCAAUUAAAAUUUUUGUGAAUGCUUGUGACGCUUGAAGUGACUAUUGUUUGCCUUGCUUGUUGCAUGAUUGUGUUUGAUACCUAAUGGAUCCUGUCACUCUCCUAAUCACCUCCUUACUCCAUGAUCUCCUGCCUAAUGAUCAUGCCUUGUGUUUAGAACAAAUAUCUAUUUUUACCAAAUAUUAUUUUCACCAAAAAGCUUUUCUUUGAAUUAAACUCUCAAACCCCUGAGAUGAGGUUUGCACUACAAGUCCUCAAAUUGGGGAGUUCCUUUUGCACCAAUUGUUUUAUUUAAAACCAUUAUCAAAAUGACUUUCAAAAACCACCAUAUUAUUAUUCUAAAAGUUAUUUUAUUAUUUUAUUUAAAAGCCCUUCUGUGAGGCCAGAAAUGGUCUCCGAUGAAGGAAAGUUAUUUUUAUUGCCUUCAAAAUAUUUCAGAAAAUUUAGGGAAACUCAGUGGAUAUAUUUAUUCCAUAUUUAUGAGUUUCAACACAUGGUCAUGUUCAAAAUAUUGGGCAAACCCCUCCAAAACCAUUCCUGCCUAUUUCAAGCUUUUGGAAUAUUGCUAUAAUAAAUAUUCUCAAUAAAUUCCAGUAAAAUUCCAGCAUGUCAUCUAUGAUAUUCUUGAUGAUCUUGCCAAGUUUCAUUUCAAUCCAAGUUGUNNNNNNNNNNNNNNNNNNNNNNNNNNNNNNNNNNNNNNNNNNNNNNNNNNNNNNNNNNNNNNNNNNNNNNNNNNNNNNNNNNNNNNNNNNNNNNNNNNNNUAUUUGAGUCAUAGGAAAGCCGUACUAUUAAGAGGGGAUCCGUAGUGGAAAGGUUUGGGUGGAAUCUAUCUUUGCACACGCAAACUUCACAUUCUCCCUUUCCUUCAUCUUUGGAGCAGCCCUCGCCACUUUGUUUUUAGCAUCUCUGCAAAAUGGUCCCCAGCGGUAGUACCGCUGGUUCCAGCGGUAGUACCGCUGGACUACUAGCGGUAGUACCGCUGCAGCCAGCGGUAGUACCGCUAGCUGGCGGUAGUACCGCCCCUGGCCAGCGGUAGUACCGCUCCAGGUGCUUUGUUCCACCUACCUACCGGUAGUUCGUGGACGGACCCUUUUGCGAAGACUUUCUUGGCGGUAGUAGUGUUUUUGCACUACCAAGGGGCCAGCGGUAGUACCGCUGGUAUCAGCGGUAGUACCGCUGCAUCCAGCGGUAGUACCGCCAGGCGGCGAUAGUACCGCUGGAGUGUCAGCGGUAGUACCGUUGGAGCUCGGGAGAGAGUGGGAAAACGGUCUGAAUUUUCCCCCCACUAUAUAAAGGGUUCUUCUAGCUGAGGAACUCUAUCUCUUACCUCUCUAAGCUCCAUUGUUGUGCCCCAGGCUCAAAAGUGCCCGAUCUCUCUCCCUAGCCAAUCAAACUUGUUGAUUCUUUAGGGAUUGGUUGAGAAGGCCUAGAUCCACACUUCCACCAAGAGAAAAGUUGAUUCCCCCACCAAUCCCUUGCGGAUCUUGUUACUCUUGGGUGUUUGAGCAUCCUAGACGGUUGAGGUCACCUCGAAGCCAUAUUCCAUUGUGGUGAAGCUUCGUGGUUUAGUUGGGAGCCUCCAANNNNNNNNNNNNNNNNNNNNNNNNNNNNNNNNNNNNNNNNNNNNNNNNNNNNNNNNNNNNNNNNNNNNNNNNNNNNNNNNNNNNNNNNNNNNNNNNNNNNGAGUGUGACAGCUCGCGAAGUACUCAUGAUGAUACCUUUGCAGUGUAGCUAGUCGGUUGUGGUUAUCGAGGGUGAUUCCUCCUUUACAACUCCCGACGAUGUCUCUGUCGUGCAACCCCUCAAGUGUGGGACCCUCGAGGGUGAUUCCUCUAAGUCCACCUUGACCGAUACAUCGUUCGGAAUCCAGCGAGGGUGAUACCUUGGAUUCCCCCUAAUGUUACAACCACACAGUUACUUGACCAUGUUACUGGGAUCUUUGAUNNNNNNNNNNGGUGGAUUCCCGCGUGGAUGUGUUGAUGGCUUAAAUAAAAUGAUAAUGGAUUUUGGUAUUUGAUCUGGGUUAGUUGGAAGGCCUUAUUACGCACUCAUCGUCUUCGUGGAAAGAAUUGUGGUUACUCGACGUCGUGGUAUCAGUCGAAGCUCUUCAGACGUCAGCGAUGGAGCGACGCGCGCCCGAGUGGACCCGAGAUGCAUCGCACAUGUUAUAAGGGGUGCUAGGACUGACGUCGGCCACCCACGCAUCAUGCAGGAGCGCAGAGGGCAAGUGGGCUCACGACUCCUUUGUGCUUAGGAGUUAGACCGGCGAGCUGGCCUCUCUGUUGAGCUUAGUUGGGGAUGCGACGUGUCGAUAUUCCGAGGUCGGGCAUGACCCAGAAAAGUGUGUUCGGCCAGAGUGUUAUCGAGUGUGACGGGGAAUAUGUUGUGCGCCCCUGCAGGGAAGAACUUGUCUAUUCGAAUAGCCGUGUCCACGGUUACAGGAUGACUUGGAGUUGUGCCCUGAUCUUAUACAACUAUAAUUGUUACCUAACUGGAAUAGUUGCUCCGGGAUUGCUUCCUCUCACGGAGUCGAGGGAGGAUCUCUAGGCGUGACCUCAUAUUAAUAUUGCUGCAACAAUAUGACUAUUAUUUGUGNNNNNNNNNNAUUCUACUCACACAUGUUGCUGCAAGACCCCUGAAGAUGCUAGUCUUCGAUAGGACUAGGCCUUCUCUCUCCAUUCUUGCAUUGCUGCAGUCAGUCCACAUAAACCCAUUCUUUGAUACUGAUGCAUACUUAGCAUAGUUCUGAUAUAAGUCUUGCGAGUACUUUGGAUGAGUACUCACUGUUUCUUUGCUCCCCCUUUGUCCCCUUGAUCCGUUGUUGCUACCAGAUGAUGGAGCCCAGGAGAUGGAGUUUCCUGCCGACGCCUGCCACCGUGAUGGUAACUUCUUCGUGGAGGCCGCUGAAGACCAGGUGUAGUUAGGAGGCUCCCAGGAAGGAGGCCUCGCCUCGUUCGAUCGUGCUUCUUUUGUGCUAGCCUUCUCUAAGGCACCUCGUGUUUAAUGUUUGUACUCAUAUAUUUUUGCUUCCUCUAACUCGUGUGUUUUUCAAACUUCUGUAUUGUAGCCCUCGAGGCUCCUGGCUGGUAAUAUGAAGCUUGUUUGUUUCAUUUGUGUCUAGAGUUGUGUUGUGAUAUCUUCCCGUGAGUCCUUUAGAUUGAUCGUACGCAUUUGCGAGUAUGAUUAGCGUACGAUUAAAUCGAGGGUGUCACAAGUUGUUAUCAGAGUCGACUGCCUGUAGGUAGCCCCCUUUCCAACUCCUUGGCCGAAGUUGAGUCUAGUGUUUGAAAAACUUUACUAACAUAGAUGUUGUGGCUUACGGUCCCACAUCUCAAUCGGGUGGUAUUAGUAUCUUUUACUCCUUUUCUAUACUCUGGAUUCUACUCUCUCUUCUCUUUCGAGUUAAAGGUUUUGCUAACUCUAACCCUAGGUUCUCGUAACUAAUUCCACCCGGAGAGCCCCUCAUUCGAGAUGAUGGCUUGAUUCAUCAGAAGAUUCUGAAGAUACUCUCUGUUGUUCUCUCGAGAACUUGUGCUCAUCGCUUUUGCGAUUUCCCUUCCUCCGUCAACCACUAUGGAUGACUACAUACAAAUAUCAUUCAUGUUUGCUUUUCAAUUGCUCUUGUUUUACGAGAUGCAACGAAUUAUCUUAUCAGGGAUUCGUCCGUCAUGAGUUUUCAUGGGUUUCGAAAGUUCUUCAAAUUGUUAUUCGAUCUUUUGGAAUCCCCAAUAGCCUAUUGCUCUUGACCCUUCUCAUCUGCUUGCAUUAUGGUUAAAUCCAUAUGUCUAGCCGCGUUCAUUAAAAUCCUUUGUGAUUUUCCUGUGAUGUUAUUGAUUCUACCUUUGUGUGAAUGCACACAAUCAUGUGCUGAUACUCAUAAAUUAUCUUCCGGCUUAGAUGACCAUUCAAACAGAGCUGGUUCUCGACAAAUCAACUUUGGUUGGUUGUCCAUCUAAGUACAUUCAACUUACUUGUAUUUGAUCAGAGCAUCUGAUUAUGAUACACCAACCUAGAAAUCCUAAUUCCUUUGGUAAUUAAGUAUCGAUAUUUUUUCAGAUGUUCUAUAAUCCGAUGCCUUGCGUUUUACCCCCCUCUGAUUGAGUACCGAUACUAACAUCAGAUAUUUUGUGGAAUGCCAGACUCAUUCUAGGUUAUUAUCCGACGGCAUCCUUUGCUUUCAAAAAUUCUUGUGAUUGCUUCCCCUCACACAUGAUGCCAUUGGUAAAUUGUGUCUUCUCCCUCUUAUAAGUUGUACCCUACGUUUUUGUGAGCCAUGUCCUUCAAGCAUGUGUUAAUUACUUUUGGAGUGUAUGGUAUAUGUUCCUAAGAUGCCCCGACAGGUUGAACCCAUGCUUUCCUAAAUCAAUAUGAUUCGAAAAGUUCUCAUGAGUUUUACUCUUCUAAUGCUUUGCCAAAUAUCCUUUCAAAGUUACAACCUGAUCAAAGGCGAGGAGUAAAUGGCAGGUGAUGCAUUGAUGAAGUGGGAGUCGGCCUUGAACUUUGUGUUCAUGCCCAUGGAAACGACAUUGAUCCUAUCAUAGAAGCUUCUCGUAUCAAUAAUCAUUCAUUCUGUGGUUUAAAUCUGGUAUAUGUGAUCUUGUCCUUCAGAAUUGUGGUUCCGACCAUGUUGUCCUACCUUGAUUUCAUUCUCAAACGAGUUAAAGUACUUGUCUUCUUUAGAUCAAUACAUCGGUCCAAGCCUUAAUGUUGAUCUACCUCCGAGUAUUAUCCCUUGUAGCUCGAGGAUAUCGCGGAGCUAUAUAACUUCUUGUGAGCUCCUCGUCAACUAUGAUAUUUUCAUCAAUUCCAGUUUUCCCCGUGUUUUGAGUUAUUGGACACUCAAGGAUACCGAUAACUGAACUGAGUACGCAUUGUGAUUCAACAACUCUUAGUAGUUCUUAGGAGUUUGUACUCGAUCAUGUCAUUCCAAGUUGUUAAGCUACAUCAUCAUUGUCAUGUUGGAGCUUGACCAUGCUAUCUAUGUCCUCCAUCUCUAGAACCUAUUUCCAACUAUGCGUUAAUCUCACAUCGAGCUUUCCACAUCAUAUUGGUUGUUUUGAAAGGCAAUUUCGAUUCUGAGCUAGCAGUCUUAACUGUGUUUCCGACAACCUUUAGCUUCACCAUUCAUUUGCUUGAUGUCAUCGCUGAUCGAUUACAACUUUGUGAAGCUUCUCGAUAAAUGUGUCGUAAUCAUCAUCAGCAUUCCGAGCUCUUGUAGGGUAUCAAUCGAAUGCAUGUUGACAAAUACCAUCCCUCCCCCUCGAUGAAUUGUAUUAUCAUCGACAUCCUUNNNNNNNNNNCCUCCAACACAAACUUGAUCAUGUUUUGUGUUGUCCCUUAAGUUCCUUCUUAUUCAGCUUAUGGUAUCUUCUACCUUGGAGUAUUACUAUCUUUUAUGUCAAUAAUGUUGUGAGCAUCAUUGCACCUCUUAAGAAUUCUUGAUAUAGUAAUACUUCUCGCCAUCACUAUUCAUUUCUUGGUCCCAUGUUGUUUCAAACCGGAAUACCAACAAGUGAACUCUGAUGUGUGAUUCCAAUACUUCUGGCAACCCUAUUACCUUGAGGUUAACAACUAAUUGUUUCAUUCUUACUGUGCUGAGUGUUGACUCAUCAUUUUUGACAUUGGUUGUGCUACUCCGUCCGUAUUUCCGAGUGCACCCUUCGACCAAUGUUUAAUUGUUGUUGUUCCCUCGAGCAUACGACAUUAUACCAUUUGAUUUGACAAAUACUAUCUCCUUGAUAUUAUAAUUUUGGAAAUUCAUCCCUGUCAAAAUCUUGAGGGAUUGUUGUUGAGCCCAUCGACAAAUACCGUCAACUUAUUCAUGGGUCGGCGAUGAAGCUCCUGAAAGCAUUAUCCUUGUGCCUAGCUCAUGAAGAAUGUGAUUGAUAGCAGAAAUGUUUCCCCAAAGUUCAUAUGUAUUCUUCCCACCGUGAAUAUGUUGAAGUUUUGUUUUGCUUCUUCUAGGAUCUUCCCAAGUCAUUCACGCAUGUGUGAAGUGUUUUAUGUUUUGAAGAUUUGCUAUCUUCACUCCAUAUAAUUUCUCUUAGCACCCCAAGCCACUGACUGAUUUGAUCGAGGGAAAAUAAGUUCCUUCAUAAGAGCUAAUCCAGAUUUACACAUGGAACCUUAUUAUCCUCGAUGAUGGUUUCCAAAUGAGGACGCGUUGCAUUUUGAUGUAAGAAUUCUAUGUGGGCACGAAUGUAUUGACAUUGUGUUCAUAUGUCUUAUAGUCCAACUCAUGAUUCAAAAAUUGCUUGUGUAGCUCAUAGCAUGAGAAUCUUGCAUCAUCAUUUUUAUUCUCACGCAUCUUGAGUCUGAGGUGUCCCGACACCAAUCAGAUCUGAAUCUCGGGCAGAUAUGAUGGUUGGAACAUUUCCCAAUAAUUAUAACUUUGGUCUUUAGGUAAACCGGUACGGUGUCGUCUUUCCAACACACCGGGCCGAAGGACCUAUUGUCAUAAAUUCUUCCAUGUGUAAGGUUAUCCAUUCUACCAUGUGGAAAACUAUAUGACUUAUUUCAUAAGUUGUUCCUCGUGGAUCCUCUUUGUGUGCCCGUUGGUCCGACCUUUAUCGGAUGACCAUGUCGAUGCUAUCCGGGAGCACGGAUGUGGUACUUCAAUGUCAACAGGAACAUUGGAAGCGCAAUGCUAAAUUAGUCGUGAUCAAUUAUCCAAACCGUAUGGUAUGGGUAAACAUCGCGAUUCUUCUUGCCUCUUUAUCAAAAUGGUUAUGUACUUGAUGACCUAUCACGUAUACCAUACCCUAUUUUUCCUCGAGAAUGGUAUACUCUAAUGCUUGUGUGUGUGAACAUGUUUUCCUUCCAUUUGGUCUGUUUGACCUUUCUUGUGGCAUAACUUAUCUAUGCAGUGUUAAUUCCAUGCUUAUGUAACAACCUCGGUAUACAACUUUGUCCAUAAGACCCUGUUACUAUAGUGGAUAAAAUUUCGGUAGCCGCCGGUGGACGAGAACUUUGCCUCUUGGUCCAUCUUGUUUCAAACAAGCAGGAAAAUGGUUCUAAUCGUCCCUCGCCCUUGGUACCGACGUUGUUGCCAACAUCACUGACAGACUAUCCUCUGACAUGUAUUGCUACCAAGACCGUAUAAGAAGCCACCGCUCUGACUACUCUCGGCCCACAUGGUGGACCCCUAACCCAAAGUUCCAUAGGAUUGAAACAUGACUCUCAUGUAUAUCUUUGACUCCAAAGUAUCCUUUACAUUUGGCUUCGUAUGUAAUUCCCGAGCCACCGUUCAAUGGACCAAUCACUCUUCGGUCCGGAUAUUAUCCAACAUGAUGAAGAUCAAGUCCGCAUUAUUCAUGAGAAUCUGAAGGCUACUCAGUCUCGUCAGAAGAGUCAGUAUGACUGUCAUCAUCAAGAUAUGGUCUAUCAACCUAGUGAAAAGCCUUAUCUUUGUGUCAUACCAAUGAGAGUACACAUCAUUUUGGGAUCAAGGGCAAGUUAGCUCCUCGCUAUAUUGGUCCUUUCACAGUUCUCGAAAGGCGUGGAAAGUGGCUUAUCAAUUGGAACUGCCGACGAACCUUUCUCAGGUUCACAAUGUCUUCCAUGUGUCUCAGCUCCGCUGCUGCUUCAAGGAUCCUAUUCGAGCAGUGGAUCAUGAUAUGCUUGAGAUACAACAAGACCUCUCUUAUAGAGAGCAUACGGUCCACAUUACCGACCAGGCUGAACGUCAAACUCGUCGCAAAGUAACCAAGUUCCUUAAAGUGCAGUGGUCAAAUCAUUCUGAAGAUGAAGCCACUUGGAAACGCGAGGAUCAUCUUCCUGAUGAAUACCCCGACCUUUUUCCUUCUACCUCUUAAUUCUUGGGACGAGAAUUCUUAUUAGUAGGGGAGAGUUGUGACAUCCUCGGCUUUUGCUACAGUACUAUAUGUAACUAAGCUACAUUGAUCACAUGCUAAUGAUGCCAUGUCACCAUGAUUACUAUUGUUGAUCUCGUGUUAGUUGAUACCGAGUUAAAUUCAAAAUUUAAAAAUAAGUCGAACGAAAAAGUUUUUGAAUGUUAAAAUAAAAAUGUCGGAUGAGUUACAGAUAUUUCUUAAUAAAUUAUAGAAUUGAAUCGGGCAUUCUUAAAAUUAUUUAAAACCCCCAUAUAUUUAAAAUAGAAACUAUAAAAAAGUAACUAAAAAUAGGAAAAACCCCAAAAGCCCCCGGCCCAACUAGGCCAAAUGGCCCAGCCGGCCGAUCCCCCCCCCCCACANNNNNNNNNNNNNNNNNNNNNNNNNNNNNNNNNNNNNNNNNNNNNNNNNNNNNNNNNNNNNNNNNNNNNNNNNNNNNNNNNNNNNNNNNNNNNNNNNNNNNNNNNNNNNNNNNNNNNNNNNNNNUGCUACUGCAACAAAAGACCUUCCAACGGCGCCAGAAAUAGGUGUGUCGACGGCACAAGGAAUCCUUGUGCUACGGCUACGCCUUAAGGGACUUCCUAGGAAAAUAUGCAAAGGAUUUCCCCCGUGGCUUGGAGCCUUGCGUUGGUGUUCCCUCGAAGCGGAAAGGGUGAUGUAGCACAGCGGUGGUAACUAUUUCCCUCAGUUUCAGAACCAAGGUAUCGAUCCAGUGAAGGAGUAUCACAAGAGCCUGCACAAACACAAAAGCUUUCUCCCAACGCUAUGAAGGGGUUGUCAAUCCCUUAUAUAUUGUUCGCCAAGUGAGAACUGAAAGCAACAAAGUAACAAAGCAAAGUAAAAGUGAAAGUGGAAACGAUAGGUGUGAAUAGACCCGGGGGCCGUAGUGUUUACUAGUGGCUUCUCUCAUGAAAGCAAGUAGACGAUGGGUGAACAAAUUAUUGUCGAGCAAUUGAUAGAACCGCGCAAAGUCGUGAUGUCAUCUACAACAAUGAUUAUAUCUAUAGGCAUCACGUCCAAAACAAGUAGACCGAUACUUUCUGCAUCUAAUACUAUUACUCCACACGUCGACCGCUAUCCAACAUGCAUCUAGUGUAUUAAGUCCAAAAGAACAGACUAACGCCUUAAGCAAGAUGACAUGAUGUAGAUGGACAAUCUCAUAUCUACGACACAGCCCACCUUGUUACCCUUGAUGGCAACUAUACGAUGUGUGCCUUGCUGCCCCUACUGUCACUAGGAAAGGUCACAACAUGGUAAGAACCCAAAACCAAGCACUUCUCCCAUUGCAAGAAUCAUNNNNNNNNNNAAGCCCAUCUUGUUACCCUUGAUGGAAACUACAUGAUGUGUGCCUUGCUGCCCCUAUUGUCACUGGGAAAGGUCACCACAUGGUAAGAACCCAAAACCAAGCACUUCUCCCAUUGCAAGAAUCAUAGAUCUAGGUGGCCAAACAAAACCCAAGACUCGGAGAUACUUGCAAGGAUAUCAAAUCAUGCAUAUAAGAAAUCAGCAAAGACUCAAAUAUAUAUCAUAGAUAAUCUGAUCACAAAUCCACAAUUCAUCGGAUCUCGAUAAACACAGCGCCAAAGAAGAUUACAUCAGAUAGAUCUCCAUGAAGAUCAUGGAGAACUUUGUAUUGAAGAUCCAAGNNNNNNNNNNAAUCGGACUUCACAAACACACCGCCAAAGAAGAUUACAUCGGAUAGAUCUCCAUGAAGAUCAUGGAGAACUUUGUAUUGAAGAUCCAAGAGAGAGAAGAAGCCAUCUAGCUACUAACUACGGACCCGUAGGUCUGAAGUGAACUACUCACGAGUCAUUGUAGGGCGAUGAUGAUGAUGAAGAAGCCCUCCAACUCCGAAGUCCCCUCCGGCAGGGCACCGGGAAGGGUCUCCAGAUGAGAUCUCGCAGAAACGGAAGCUUGCGACGGCAGAAAAGUAUUUUCCUGGAUGCCUUGAUUUUUUUCUUAUUUUUAGGGAAUAUAUAGGCGCAAGAUCUAGGUCACGGGGGCGCCAGGGAGGACACUAGCCUGCCCACCGCCCCNNNNNNNNNNUAGAGAAGAAUCCAUCUAGAUACUAACUACUAACCCGUAGGUCUGAAGUGAACUACUCACGAGUCAUUGGAGGGGCGAUGAUGAUGAAGAAGAAGCCCUCCAACUCCAAAGUCCCCUCCGGCAAGGCACCGGGAAGGGUCUCCAGAUGAGAUCUCACGGAAACGGAAGCUUCCGGAGGAGUAAAAGUAUUUUCGUGGAUCCCUUCAUUUUUUCUGAUUUUUAGGGAAUAUAUAGGCGCAAGAUCUAGGUCAGGGGGCGCCAGGGAGGCCACAAGCCUGCCCACCGCCCCCCCCCCUUGGUGGCGGAGUGGGGGNNNNNNNNNNNNNNNNNNNNNNNNNNNNNNNNNNNNNNNNNNNNNNNNNNNNNNNNNNNNNNNNNNNNNNNNNNNNNNNNNNNNNNNNNNNNNNNNNNNNUUCUAUAAAUAGGACUUUUAUUUUUCUUGGACCUCUCUGGUCAUAAGAAAAAUACCUGAAGCUUCUCACAGGAGGUUUGGAAUCAUCAAGGAUUUUUGAAUAGGUGAAAGGAGCAAUAGGUGGCCAUUGAAUAAGCCAACAGAAAUCUUUCUGUUAAAAAUGAGUGGACGCACCCAUUUAACAGAGAAGGAUUUUAGAAAUAUUUAGGAAGUGGUUUCAGUGGAUUUGGAGAUGGUAUGUAUAUUCUGAAGAUUUAACAAUGAGGAUUAAAUAGCAAUAGGAGCUAUUUAUUUAUUGCAACAUAAAUAAGUCACACAAAAAUGUUGACCUGGGUUCUAAAAAUGGAGAAUGAUUUUAGAAGUCUCUGGAAGUUUGAAUCACUCCAUUUGGAGUUGAAAUGAAGCCUAUGGGAUUUUUGAAAGGUGGUGUUUAAAAUGUCUAAAUGGGCAUUUAGAUAUUAUUAUCACAGGAAAGUAUUUUGGAAAAAUUUGCAAUGCCCAGAUCUGGAUAGAAUAGUAUUUUAGAAACCUGCAGAAUUUUGAAUCAAUAAAUUUGGAGUUAGUAUNNNNNNNNNNNNNNNNNNNNNNNNNNNNNNNNNNNNNNNNNNNNNNNNNNNNNNNNNNNNNNNNNNNNNNNNNNNNNNNNNNNNNNNNNNNNNNNNNNNNUGGGACGGUCGACACAUCAUAAAUCUAAUCNNNNNNNNNNAUCUAAUGCUUGUGUGUGUGAACAUGUUUUCCUUCCUAUUGGUCUGUUUGACCUUUCUUGUGGCAUAACUUAUCUAAGCAGUGUUAAUUCCCAGCUUAAUAUGCUUACCGACCAGAGUAAUCAACAAAGCCCCGUCCCAUAAAAGGGGUAUCUUGGUCGUACUAGUAAGGUUGGGACGGUCGACACAUCAUAAAUCUAAUCCCAUUUCCGAAACCAUACUCACACCAAAACACCGGUGCAUCACUUCACCAAAAGUGAUCACCAACUCAUCAUCACCCUCGGGCACUAGUGGCACCCGACGGAGUUUUCAUAAACUCUUUACUUAAUUCAUCAUCAUGCUUGUGAUAAUAUGCUCUAUCUCUACUUGUAAACAUGUUAAUAACAUGACCCUCACGGGGUAGGGUCAAGCUCAAUGCAAUGAUCUUAUAACUUACUAGUCAGCAUGACAGUAGCAUGAUCCUCAUAGACAGUAGGGUUAGCUCAUCAUGUUUGUGCUCCGAGGAGCCAUGUGAAUAUCAUUACUAUCAUGCAAGUGCUUCGAUGAAGCCUUCGGUACCAUCACAUCAAUGAUGAACCGGCACUAUGAUCACAUGCAACGGGAAAAUACUUGCUAUACUAGCAUGCAUCAUUUUAUAUGCUUAAGUCAUGGAAAAAGGGUUGCUUGCCUUGCUCACGUAAGUCCUCGGGGUCUUCAAGGUCUUCCGCUCCGUCCCCGAAUACUCCGUGUACCGUCAACUAUCGUCGGAAACAACUAUAGUAAGACAUAUAUCCAGCAGAAUAAAAGUAUUCUAUAAAUAGGACUUUUAUUUUUCUUGGACCUCUCUGGUCAUAAGANNNNNNNNNNCAAAAGGGUUGCUUGCCUUGCUCACGUAAGUCCUCGGGGUCUUCGAGGUCUUCCGCUCCGUCCCCGAAUACUCCGUGUACCGUCAACUAUCAUCGGAAACAACUAUAGUAAGACAUAUAUCCAGCAGAAUAAAAGUGUUCUAUAAAUAGGACUUUUAUUUUUCUUGGACCUCUCUGGUCAUAAGANNNNNNNNNNNNNNNNNNNNNNNNNNNNNNNNNNNNNNNNNNNNNNNNNNNNNNNNNNNNNNNNNNNNNNNNNNNNNNNNNNNNNNNNNNNNNNNNNNNNACCUUACUAGUACGACCACGAUACCCCUUUUAUGGGACGGGGCUUUGUUGAUUACUCUGGUCGGUACUAGCAAAGAGCCACAUUACUAGUGGCGGGAGUGAACGGUGUCACUCUCGUGAUGGGGUCGUGCCAGGUAGGACGACUAUGCCAUUAUUAUGAGUUCCAGGCACACCGUUGGUCCCUGCAUGGUUGAUACGGUCCAGAGUUGGUGCUCGUAAGACGUACAACAUAUGGGCUGGGUACCAAUCGAGUGGACCUCUUUGUCUAGUAUCGUCAGGGGAAACAUGAUGAUCGGGUACUUACCUCGGGUAUAUGUGAUAUACCGCGAGUCGUGGAUGACACGGAAGUUUCCCAUUUCUCGUGGGUCCAGCAUACUACCUCUGUAGAGUGUAAACUAUUCGAAUAGCCGUGUCCACGGUCAAGGACAGUUGGGUGGUGCUGCUUAAACUACGUCCAGCGUUUCCGCAUAAACCAAGUGUAUGUGUGUGUGUGGUGUUAAAAAGGUGUUGUUAUGAUAAUCACAAUAAUAUGAUCAAGUUUGGUGACUUGACGUAUAGGGUAAACCCGGAUNNNNNNNNNNNNNNNNNNNNNNNNNNNNNNNNNNNNNNNNNNNNNNNNNNNNNNNNNNNNNNNNNNNNNNNNNNNNNNNNNNNNNNNNNNNNNNNNNNNNNNNNNNNNNNNNNNNNNNNNNNNNNNNNNNNNNNNNNNNNNNNNNNNNNNNNNNNNNNNNNNNNNNNNNNNNNNNNNNNNNNNNNNNNNNNNNNNNNNNNNNNNNNNNNNNNNNNNNNNNNNNNNNNNNNNNNNNNNNNNNNNNNNNNNNNNNNNNNNNNNNNNNNNNNNNNNNNNNNNNNNNNNNNNNNNNNNNNNNNNNNNNNNNNNNNNNNNNNNNNNNNNNNNNNNNNNNNNNNNNNNNNNNNNNNNNNNNNNNNNNNNNNNNNNNNAUUGAGGUUAUGACAAGUGAGAUGACUUGGCAUAUAGGGUGAACCCGAAUGGUUCAGCCCUUAGCAGAUAUGUUGAUAUCUGUAACCUGUUCUUCAAAAGUAAUUCUUUAACCCGAUGCAUAUACAUGAUCAUUCCACCCAGAUGAGUUACACUAAAGAUGCAUGAUACUGUUAUCCUUCACUUUCAUUGUUCGUAUCAUGGACUGUUUGCGAGUACAUUCAAAGUACUCAUUGGCUUGCCACUGGUUAUUUCAUUGACCAGGUGUGAAAGACAGGAUAUGGUGAAGAUUAACUCGGUGACGUUCUUGCGAGCUAGGAUGCUUCCCAGUCAGAAUGCCUGUAGGUUAAGGCUGAUGGCAUGGGUUCACGCUUUCAACCAAUAAUUCCGCUAUUGGUCUAGUUUGGUGCUUUGGCCUAUAAGGCCCUAUGUAUGUAAGACUCGACCGAAGUGGUCAUUUAUUGUAUCAAACGGUAUGUAUGGAUGUAAGACUCUAUUAUUCAGUAUCUGUGUUUAGUGAGCAUUGAUCCUUGGGAUCACUGGGCACGGCGAUCUCGACUUACCAGUCGGGGUCCCCACAGAGCUGGUAUCAGAGCCAUCGUGACUGUAGGAAGCCCUUGGUUAGCCUGGACGUUAGUUAGGAUAAAAAUGCUUUCCGGACCCUUCAAAAUACUUACAAAACUUAUAUAUUUUCUCAACUCUCCUAAAACUUCAAACAAAUUGAAGGUUGUGCUCUAGCCUUCCACUCUUAUUUUCUUGACACUCCUCGUCUACUUUUUCAAAACUUGCUAAUGGUCGCUAGUACCUUAUGCCCUUCUAACCAUAGGAUAAAUUGAAAUCCUCGUGGGCAGCCCGGAAGGAAGUAACCUUUCCACGCAAACACCUGUGCUGAAGGACAGAGAAGACAACUCUACGACCAGACGACACCAAUAGUAGUAGCUCUAAGAGGAACGAGGACAUCGAGGCUUAGAAGAUGGUGAAACCCUAGGCACUGUUCCAGAGUGAUGUCACUUUCGCCUACGAUAAUCUGGACGUAAUAUAUGCAAACCUUGAUCUGCAUCACUAAUAGAGCGAUCACGUCAGUUAUAAAUAAUUGUGUCGACCACCACCGGUGGAUGAGAAUCUUGCCAUUUGGUCCGCCUCACCUUAGUGAGCAGGAAAACGGUUCUCUUCAUCCCCCGCUCUAGGUGUCGAUAUCGCAAUUAGUAUGAUUGACAGAUCAGAACUCUAUCAUGUCAUGCAAAUAUCGGUGCAUGAAGGUGUCCACCUGAGACUCUCGAAGCCUCAGAAGACAAGAAGACACUGACAAGAUCAUGAAGACAACAGAAGACCCUGUCAGUGACAGCUAUGAAGAACCACCUUCAUCAGCAACUUCCGAGACGAGAAGACAACCAGAGUUCCUUACAACUCAAGCGAAUUGCUUCAGCAAGCGAUAACAAGAGGCAUGGAAACACCAUGAGAAGGUCCAGAAGACUUAGCGGACUCCUCUCCGGAGCAAGAAGCAAGCACGUCUGUUGAGUCCCAGAACCUAGGAUAGGAUGAGUCGUGAAUCCCCUAUGCGAAGUCGUGUCCGUGAAAUGGUUCGGAUGGACCAUGUUGUGUGUUGCUUAUUUUUGUUGUUUGUGCUUCGAUAUAAGUCGCACUUUUGCUUAGGCAACAAGCAUGCGGUUAUAUCACUUGCCUUAUUUUGAUGUUCAAAAUAAUUUUAGCAUUUGUUUGAGUCGAUUUUUUUCAACGCUUGUUUGAUUGCGCUAAGACCCUUAGACCUUCCCCUUGGUGCUCUCUCUCUCACACCCCUCUGGACAACUGAAGACGGCAAGGCAGAUGCGCCAAGGAUCCGCUUUGAAGGACGGCUGACAUUGAAGACACUGACUGUGCUACGCUUAACCACAUGCAACACAUAUGAGUGUGUUUCCCCCUCGAGAUUGGAAAACCACACUAGACCAGACUAACCUCCACAAGCCUUUCUGGCUCAAAUUUUCUGGUCACGUGUCUAGUACACGGACUUGCCAGAACUCGUGUAGGUCCCCGACAAACCCCGCUGAGCACCGGGUUCCUUGUGGAACAAGUGAUCACCGUGAACAAGUAUCCUUCCAUCUCAAGCUAUCACUGUAACCUUGAUGCCAUAAGAGGACCGAUCUCCGAUAUGAGAGCAUUAGACUAAGAUUGUUGUGAUGAUAAUAGAUGUCUUGAGGAUAUAGCUAGACUAUUUUGGUGGAUCGUGAGACCCUUAUAAAGUAGGUGAAUUUGGUGGAACAAGUUGGUAUUAGCAUAAUCUUCAUAAUCUGGAGUAAGAUUGGAUUUAGUAGGAUGCUUAUGAUCGUGAACAUUAUUCUUGGUGGUAUACAUGACUUUAGCCAGUAGUUGGAAUGGUUUGGAGAUAAUUACCAUAAUGACUUGGAGUAUCAAGUAGACUUCUUAUUGGAUUGAGUCUUGGAUUUAAAUAGGUAAUCUUAAUAGAGUAUUGAGGAUGACAAAGACCACAUGGUUUGGAGUAAAUUAGAUUUAGCUCGUUAAUCUCGAUCAUGAUACCAUGUUUCUCGGUGGAUAUAGAGUGUGUAUACUUGGAGUUGUCAAAUUGAUUUACAACCUAUGUAGUUUGGCCUUGGAGAUUAGAUGGCCAUGAUUAUUGAAGUUGGUGGAUAUACUACGACGUAAUUCUAGCAGUAAUAUGUGAGUUAUGAUGACUCUAAGAGAUUGUGUAGAACCUCCAUCCGUGUUGGAUUUGUAAGAGUGAUAGGUCUAGUAAUGAUUGAUCAGAUUGAUGGAUCACUUGAUCGGAUUCAUAGGAAGGAAACAAAAUAUUGGAUUGGUCUACUACAUGUUUCCUUAAUAUAGUAGUGUAGUACCCUGUCCAUUGGAUGACUUAGGUGGACAAUUGGAUUUGUUGUGCCUCAGAUUCAAUUGUGGUAGCUGUAUGUCUCCCCAAGGUCCUUGCAUAGUAAUGCAUGCACAGCUGGGGCUACGCCAUACUUGUAAGUGUUUGGGUUUAGUUCUUCCCUCAACCCGGAGUUGACUAGCUUGAGCGGUGUGGAGUUGACCCACGUAGGAUGAUAUCCUUGAUGAGAUGAGGUGAUGUUGUCUCAAGUUAGCGGUCGAACUACUGGCAUCUAAGGAAUGUGCUUAGAGAUAAGAUGAUAACUGUUCGCCCACAUCCUAAGUUCCUUAAGACCCUAAAGCUUCGCUGAGCCACAAGAUGGACGGACUACGACCAUAGAAGAUGACUCUAAGUCAUUAAAAUGUGGCCAGUACCUGCCCAUAGCAGGUCCCCAUUCUCCUCGCCUAACCCAUGAGCACUGUGCUUAUGUUGUGUUUGGGGAAGGUAUGAUGUCAUCCUCACUGAUGACAUACUUACUCACCCAGUAAGAGGAAGAACACCUUAGUUGUGUUUGGUCGACCCCAGGAACGCCGAUCGUUAUACCUCUUGAGGGUACCGUGAUAUCUCGAGAAGGUGGACUUCUCGAAGCAGUCCCAAGACGACAGAAGACUAACCUACUCCAGCCAAGACGAAGAAUCGCCGCGACAAGGAAUCCACGAUAACGACGAUGAAGCAACAGAAGUCAACCACCAACCACGCACCGACCACAUCAACGACGUCAAGAAACCUCGACGAUUCAAGAUGAUGAAGCCCUUCGACAAGCGAAAGGAUCAGACGACCUCUCCUUGGUCCAUAUUAAGGACGCAACUACUAGUAGGUCGUGGUGGAAACCUGCUAAAGGUGAUUCCCGCUUGCCGAGUCGCCGACCUUGGGAAUGGAUGACUGGUCCAUACUCUUGGGUAGCCAGCUUAUCCAGAAACCCUCGCAACUCCCAAGAUGGCAGGACCUGUUCGGGACCUGAGCCUCCGAGUUUAGACUCAUAGGUGAGACCCAGCCCGGACCCUUCCACGAGAAGCCUUCGAAGACCAAUUGCGACCAUAGCUUGACUGCUGAAAGGAAGUCAAGGACUUCCCCGUAAGCGGGAAGGCAUGCGAAGACUUUGGUAGUGCGUUCUAACACGAGGCAUCUUGAUGUCACUAACCGGCAUGCGAAACCCCAGGACCAGAUCCUAGACACACUAACUUGCCACGUAUUCUCACUUGGAAUACACUCGCAAGCCAGAACCUUGCACGGACUUAGCUUACCAAGCCCUUGACCUCGGUCAACCCUAACUUAUUGCCAGAUUUCACUCAUGAUCAGUCGAGGACUUGUGAACAUUCGAAGUUGUAUCAUCAAGCACCUCAAGACCACCACAACAACCUGGGGACAUGAAGAAUACCUCCAACUCAAGAUUCUGUAUCUCACCAACCCCUAGCCCAGGAAUCUCGGGGAUGAGAUUUUCUUAAGAGGGUAAGGUCUGUCACACCCCAGUUUUUGGCCUUCCUGACUAAUUAACUUAUUUCAAAAUUUAGGACCAAUUAAAAUGUUUGUGAAUGCUUGUGACGCUUGAAGUGACUAUUGUUUGCCUUGCUUGUUGCAUGAUUGUGUUCGAUACCUAAUGGAUCCUGUCACUCUCCUAAUCACCUCCUUACUCCAUGAUCUCCUGCCUAAUGAUCAUGCCAUGUGUUUAGAACAAAUAUCUAUUUUUACCAAAUAUUAUUUUCACCAAAAAGCUUUUCUUUGAAUUAAAUCUCAAACCCCUGAGAUGAGGUUUGCACUACAAGUCCUCAAAUUGGGGAGUUUCUUUUGCACCAAUUGUUUUAUUUAAAACCAUUAUCAAAAUGACUUUCAAAAACCACCAUAUUAUUAUUUUAAAAGUUAUUUUAUUAUUUUAUUUAAAAGCCCUUCUGUGAGGCCAGAAAUGGUCUCCUAUGAAGGAAAGUUAUUUUNNNNNNNNNNNNNNNNNNNNNNNNNNNNNNNNNNNNNNNNNNNNNNNNNNNNNNNNNNNNNNNNNNNNNNNNNNNNNNNNNNNNNNNNNNNNNNNNNNNNNNNNNNNNNNNNNNNNNNNNNNNNNNNNNNNNNNNNNNNNNNNNNNNNNNNNNNNNNNNNNNNNNNNNNNNNNNNNNNNNNNNNNNNNNNNNNNNNNNNNNNNNNNNNNNNNNNNNNNNNNNNNNNNNNNNNNNNNNNNNNNNNNNNNNNNNNNNNNNNNNNNNNNNNNNNNNNNNNNNNNNNNNNNNNNNNNNNNNNNNNNNNNNNNNNNNNNNNNNNNNNNNNNNNNNNNNNNNNNNNNNNNNNNNNNNNNNNNNNNNNNNNNNNNNNNNNNNNNNNNNNNNNNNNNNNNNNNNNNNNNNNNNNNNNNNNNNNNNNNNNNNNNNNNNNNNNNNNNNNNNNNNNNNNNNNNNNNNNNNNNNNNNNNNNNNNNNNNNNNNNNNNNNNNNNNNNNNNNNNNNNNNNNNNNNNNNNNNNNNNNNNNNNNNNNNNNNNNNNNNNNNNNNNNNNNNNNNNNNNNNNNNNNNNNNNNNNNNNNNNNNNNNNNNNNNNNNNNNNNNNNNNNNNNNNNNNNNNNNNNNNNNNNNNNNNNNNNNNNNNNNNNNNNNNNNNNNNNNNNNNNNNNNNNNNNNNNNNNNNNNNNNNNNNNNNNNNNNNNNNNNNNNNNNNNNNNNNNNNNNNNNNNNNNNNNNNNNNNNNNNNNNNNNNNNNNNNNNNNNNNNNNNNNNNNNNNNNNNNNNNNNNNNNNNNNNNNNNNNNNNNACCUUACUAGUACGACCAAGAUACCCCUUUUAUGGGACGGGGCUUUGUUGAUUACUCUGGUCGGUAAGCAUAUUAAGCUGGGAAUUAACACUGCUUAGAUAAGUUAUGCCACAAGAAAGGUCAAACAGACCAAUAGGAAGGAAAACAUGUUCACACACACAAGCAUUAGAUUAUACCAUUCUCGAGGAAAAAUAGGGUAUGGUAUACGUGAUAGGUCAUCAAGUACAUAACCAUUUUGAUAACGAGGCAAUAAGAAUCAUGAUAUUUACCCAUACCAUACCGUUUGGAUAAUUGAUCAGGAACAAUUUAGCAUUGCGCUUUCAAUGUUCGUGUUGACAUUGAAGUACCUCAUCCGUGCUUCGGGAUAGCAUCGACAUGGUCAUUCGAUAAAGGUCGGACCAAUGGGUACACAAAGAGGAUCCAUGAGGAACAACUUAUGAAAUAAGUCAUAUAGUUUUCCGCAUGGUAGAAUGGCUAACCUUACGCAUGGAAGAAUUUAUAACAAUAGGUCCUUCGGCCCGGUGUGUUGGAAAGACAACAUCGUACCGGUUUACCUAACGACCAAAGUUAUAAUUAUUGGGAAAUGUUCCAACCUUCAUAUCUGCCCGAGAUUUAGAUCUGACUAGUGUCGGGACACCUCAGACUCAAGAUGCCUGAGAAGAAAAAUGAACAUGCAAGAUUCUCAUGAUAUGAGCUACACAAGAAAUUCUUGAAUCAUGAGUUCGACUGUAAGACAUAUGAACACAAUGUCAAGACAUUCGUGCCCAAAUAGAAUUCUUAAAUCAAAAUGCAUCCGAGUCCUCAUUCGGAAAUCAUCAUCGAGGAUAACAAGGUUCCAUGUGUAAAUCUGGAUUAGCUCUUAUGAAGGAACUUCUUUUCCCUUGAUCAAAUCAGUGAGUGGCUUGGGGUGCUAAGAGAAAUUAUAUGGAGUGAAUAUAGCAAAUCUUCAAAACAUAUAACACUUCGCACAUGCAUUAAUGACUUGGGAAGAUCCUAGAGGAAGAAAAACAAAACUUCCACAAAUUCACGAUGGCAAGAAUGCACAUAAACUUUGGGGAAACAUUUCUGCUAUCAAGCACAUUCUUCAUGAGCUAGGCAUAAGGAUAAUGCUUUCAAGAGCUUCAUCGCCGAACCAUGAAUGAGUUGAGGGUGUGGUCGAUGGGCUCAGCAACACUCCCUCAAGAUUUUGAUAGGGAUGAAUUUCCAAAAAUUAUAAUAUCAAGGAGAUAGUAUUUGUCAAAUCAAAUGGUAUAAUGUCGUAUGCUCGAGGGAACAACAACAAUUAAACAUUGGUCGAAGGGUGCACUCGGAAAUACAGAAGGAGUAGCACAACCAAUGUCAAAAAUGAUGAGUCAACACCCAACACACUAAGAAUGAAACAAUCAGUUGUUAACCUCAAGGCAAUAGGGUUGCCAGAAGUAUUGGAAUCACAUAUUAGAGUUCACUUAUUGGUAUUCCGGUUUGAAACAACACGGGACCAAGAAAUGAAUAGUGAUGGCGAGAAGUAUUACUAUAUCAAGAAUUCUUAAGAGGUGCAAUGAUGCUCACAACAUUAUUGUAAUAAAAGAUAGUAAUACUCCAAGGUAGAAGAUAACAUAAGCUGAAUAGCAAGGAACUUAAGGGACAACACAAAACAUGAACACAUUUGUGUUAGAGUGAAGGCAAACAAGGAUGUCGAUGAUAAUACAAUUCAUCGAGGGGGAGGGAUGGUAUUUAUCAACAUGCAUUUGAUUGAUACCAUGCAAGAGCUGAGAAUGCUGAUGAUGAUCAUGACACAUUUGUUGAGAAGCUUCACGAAGAUGUAAUCGAUUAGCGAUGACAUCAAGCAAAGGAAUGGUGAAGCUAAAGGUUGUCGGAAACACAAUUAAGACUUCUAGCUCAGAAUCAAAAUUGCCUUUCAAAACAACCAAUAUGAUGUGGAAAGCUGGAUGUGAGCUUAACGCACAGUUGGAAAUGGGUUCUAGAGAUGGAGGACAUAGAUAGCAUGGUCAAGCUCCAACAUGAUGAUGAUGAUGUAGUUUAACAACUUGGAAUGACAUGACCGAGUACAAACUCCUAAGCAAAUAAUAUUACUAAGAUUUGUUGAAUCACAAUGCGUACUCGGUUCAGUUAUCAGUAUCCUUGAGUGUCCAAUAACUCAAAACACGGGGAAAAUUGGAAUUGAUGAAAAUAUCAUAGUUGCUGAGGAGCUCACAAGAAGUUAUAUAGCACAGUGAUAUCCUCGAGCUACAUGGGAUAAUACUCGGAGGUAGAUCAACAUUAAGGCUUGGACCGAUGUAUUGAUCUGAAGAAGACAAGUACUUCAACUCGUCUGAGAAUGAAAUGAAGGUAGGACAACAUGGUCGGAACCACAAUUGCAAAGGACAAGAUCACAAAUACCAAAUUUAAUCCACGAAAUGAAUGAUUAUUGAUAUGAGAAGCUUCUAUAAUAGGAUCAACAUCGUUUCCAUGGGCAUGAACGCAAAGUUGCAGGCUGACUCCCACUUCAUCAAUGCAUCACCAGCUAUUUAUUCCUCGCCUUUGAUCAAGUUGUAGCUUUGAAAGGAUACUCGGCAAAGAACUAGAAGAGUAAGACUCACGAAAACUUUUCGACUCAUAUCGAUUUAGGAAGGCAUAGGUUCAACCCACCGGGGCAUCUUAGGAACAUAUAUCAUACACUCCGAGAGUACUUAACACAUGCUUGAAGGGCAUGGCUGACAAAAGCGUAGGGUACAACUUAUCAGAGGGAGAAGACACAAUUUACCAAUGGCAUCUUGUGUAAGGGGAAGCAAUCACAAGAAUUUUCGAAAGCAAAGGAUGCCAUCGGAUAAUAUGCCAGAAUGAGUCUGGUAGUCCACAAAAGAUCUUAUGCGAGUAUCGGUACUCAAUCGAAGGGGGGUAAAACGCAAGGCAUCGGAUUAUAGAACAUCUGAAAAAAUAUCGAUACUUAAUUACCAAAGGAAUUAGGAUUUCCAGGUUGGUGUAUCAUAAUGAGAUGCUCCGAUCAAAUAGAAGUUAGUUGAAUGGACUUAGAUGGACUACCAACCAAAGUUGAUUUGUCGAGAACCAGCUCUGUUUGAAAGGACCUCUAAGCCGGAAGAUAAUUUAUGAGUAUCAACAGAUGAUUGUGCGCAUUCACACAAAGAUAGAAUCAAUAAGAUCAUAGGAAAAUCUCAAAUGAUUUUAAUGAACAAGGCUAGACAUAUGGAUUUAACCAUUAUGCAAGCAGGUGAGAAGGGUCAAGAGCAAUAAGUACUAGGGAUUCCGAAAGAUCGAAUAACAAUAAGAAGAACAUUCAAAACCCAUGACAACUGAUGACGGACAAAUCCCCGAUAAGAUAAUUCAUUGCAUCUCGUAAAACAAGAGCAAUUGAAAAGCAAAUAUGAAUGACAUUUGUAUGUAGUCAUCCAUAGUGGUUGACAGAGGAAGGGAAAUCACAAAAGCGAUGAUCACAAGUUCUCGAGAGAACAACAAAGAGUAUCUUCAGAGUCUUCUGAUGAAUCAAGCCAUCAUCUGGAAUGAGGGGCUCUCUGUGAGGAAUUAGUUACGACAACCUAGAGUUAGAGUUAGCCAAACCUUUAACCCGAAAGAUAAUAGAGAGUAGAACCCAGAGUAUAGAAAAGGAGUAAAAGAUACUAAUACCACCCAAUUGAGAUGUGGGCCCGUAAGCCACAACAUCUGUGUUAGUAAAGUUUGUCAAACACUAGAAUCAACUUCGGCCAUGGAGUUGGAAAGGGGGUUACCUACAGGCAGUUGGCUCUGAUACCAACUUGUGACGCCCUCGAUUUAAUUGUACGCUAAUCAUACACGCAAAUGCGUAUGAUCAAUCUCAAGGACUCACGUGAAGAUAUCACAACACAACUCUAGACACAAAUUAAACAAACAAGCUUCAUACUACAAGCCAGGGGCCUUGAGGGCUACAAUACAUAAGCUCGAAGAACACACUAGUCAGCGAAAGGAACAAUAUCUGUGUACGGACAUUAAACAUGAGGUGCCUUAGAGAAGGCUAGCACAAAAGAAGCACGAUCGAACAACGCGAGGCCUCCUGCAUGGGAGCCUCCUAACUACUCCUGGUCUUCAGCGACCUCCACGAAGAAGUCACCAUCGGGGUGGCACGCGUCGGCAGGAAACUCCAUCUCCUGGGCUCCAUCAUCUGGUCACAACAACGGAUCAAGGGGAUAAAGGGGGAGCAAAGCAAUGGUGAGUACUCAUCCAAAGUACUCGCAAGAGUUACAUAAGAACUAUGCUAAGUAUGCAUAAGUAUCAAAGAAUGGGUUUAUGUGGAAUGACUGCAGCAAUGCAAGAAUAGAGAGAAGGGCUAGUCCUAUCGAAGACUAGCAUCUUCAGGGGUCUUGCAGCAAUAACCGAGAGUAGAACAGGGGAACACAAAUAAUAGUCAUAUUGUUGCAGCAAUAUUAAUAUGAGGUCACGCUCAGAGGUGCUCCCUCGACUCCCUGCGAGGGAGCAAUAUCGGAGCAACUAUUCCACUUAAGUAACAAUUGUAGUUGUAUUAGAUCAGGGUACAUCUCCAAGUCGUCCUGUAACUAUGGACACGACUAUUCGAAUAGAUAAGUUCUUUCCUGCAGGGGUGCACAACAUAUUCACUAUCACGCUCGACAACACUCUGGCCGGGCACACUUUUCUGGGUCAUGCUCGGCCUUAGAAUAUCGACACGUCGCAGCCCCACCUAAGCUCAACACAGAGGCUAGCCCGCCGGUCUAACUCCUAAGCACAAAGGGGUCAUGGGCCCACUUGUCCUCUGCGCUCCUGCACGAUGCGUGGGCGGCCGACGUCAGUCCUAGCACCCCUUAUAACAAGCGUGAUGCAUCUCGGGACCACUCGGACGCGCGCCGCUCCAUCGCUGACGUCUGAAGAGCUUCGACUGAUACCACGACGUCGAUUACCCAUAAUUCUUCCCGCGCAGACGGUUAGUGCGUAAUAAGGCCUGCCGACCAACCCAGAUCAAGUACCCAAAUCCAUUAUCAUUUUAAUUAAGCCAUCGACACAUCCACGUGGGAAUCCACUCGCCUAACAUAUAUUCAUCAAAGAUCCCAGUAACAUGGUCAAGUAACUGUGUGGUUGUAACAUUGGGGGGAAUCCGAGGUAUCACCCUUGCUGGAUUCCGAACGAUGUAUCCUUCAAGGUGGUCUUAGAGGAAUCACCAUCGGGGGUCCCACACUUGAGGGCUUGCACGACAGAGACAUCGUCGGGAGUGCUGAAGGAGGAAUCACCCUCGAUAACCACGACCGACUAGCUACACUACAGAGGUAUCAUCAUGAGUACUUCGCGAGGUGUCAGCCUCGGUACCUGAUUGGAGCUCUGUAGUGCCGCACAACUAAGGGGGGUGUAAGUGUUGUGUCGGACGUGGCUCGUCCACCAGGUAUCAAGACUUGAUGACAAAGCGGGGCAACGGGACUAAGGGGUCAGAGGGGAUGAUUGCUCCACAUAUACUAAACAGUUUUAAAGUGCAGUACUGAAAGUAGCAGUUUAUCAAAAAUAGGUUAUGCAUCAGAUAUUGGAGCUAACUAAAACAACAACAAAAUUCUAAUGCAAGCAUGGGAAAGAAAGACAUAGGCGAUAUAGGGAUGAUCAAGGGGGUUUGCUUGCCUUGUUGCUCUGUGGGAAAGGCUGGUUGUCAGGAGGGUAGAUGUACCCGACAACAACAUCUGUCUCGGGGUCUACCAGUAAGAAGUGGGGGGAGAAACAAUAAAUAACAGCAACAGGUGCAACACUAAGCAUGACAUGGCAAAUACAGUUCUAGACUUGAGCUAACGUAGUAAACAUCCGUCAUAGACGGGUCGGGAAAAUAUCACAUGAUAUUUCCCGGGUCUCUAGCUACUACCGGUCAAACAAAAAACGAUGGAAAAGUUCCACAUUUGCUAUGCUAGGGACGCGUGACAAACGAAUGGACCGCGUAUCCGGGUUCGUGUCAUUCUGCUGAUUAACUUUCAUGUUGAAAAUAUUUUGAUUUGAAUUAACGUUUAUUUUAUAUUAAUUUUUAAAGUUUUAUUAAUAUUUAGAAAUUAAAAACAGAUUUAAUUAAUUUUUAAAUGCAUGACAUCAUUAGUUGACUGGUCAAACCGACGAGUGGGUCCCAUGUGUCAUACACAAUUUUUAAUUAGGGUUAAUUAUUAACUAAUAAAAUUAAUUUAGUGAGGGACCCACGUGUCAUAUUCUAAUAGGAUAAUUCAAUUAUCUAAUUAACAGAUUACUAAUAACUCUUAAGCAUAUAUUUACUAAUAAAUAAAUAAAUAAAUUAAUUCACUAGUUAUUUAUUUAUUUAAUUAAAUUAAAUUAUUUUAUUAUUUUAUUAUUUUAUUUCAAAAGAGGGUUGUGCGGGGCCUCCUUGUUAGUGGGAGUGUGGGGUUGGCCCCACAUGGAAGUGGCCCACCGGCCACACACACAAACAACACGCACACAUUGUGUACACCAAAUUUCACAUACACACACAUACACAUAUACACAUUUUUAAACACAUCCAUGUAUACAUAAAAUAGAUUCAUAUGUAUUUAUACACAAAUACAUUCAUCGCACUAUGCACACAUACAUACAUCUCUCACUUUUCUUAUUUUAUUUUCUUUAUCCCUUUUCUUUUUCUCUAUUCUAUCUCUAUUCUAACUCUCUCUCAACUGACACAGGAGGGAAAUACUCCACCUCCCCCUCAACAGCGCCGGGACGAGGCGGUGAACGCCGGAGCAGAACCGGAGGGGGGAAGAGUGGACGGGGAGAGCCCGGGGCUAACUUGCGGUGCAGGGGGGCUGGUUCAGCGAGGCUCGGGGAAGCCGGUUCGGGAGGAUGAUGAGGAUGCCGAUGAUGAAGCGAGGCGUUCCGAUGAGGAUGGGGACGAUGGGGCUCGGCAGCGCGGUGCUUCGGCCGGUGGAGGAGCGACCGGUGCAGUUCGGCGAGGAGGAGCUCCCGUUGAUGCUCGAUGGGGAGAUGCCUCGGGGCAGGGCACCGCGGCACCGUCGGCGUGGCCCCAGUGCGGAUACGGUGAGAGGAGAGUGAAGGGCUGGCGGUGGUCCGACGAGUGGAGAGGAGGGAGCCGGCGAGGAGGCCGUUGAGGAGGAGCCGACCGUUGCGGCUGUUCCGAAGGCGCCACCGCAGAGCACCAUUGAGGUGGGUGAGGCACAUGUCGGUGUGGUUCACGGCGGUGGCGAUGAUGGGGUUGAAGCUGGCGAUGCCGGCAUAGAAGUGGGGGACUCGCUCGUCUUUGUGUUUCUUUUCCGCGAACACGCCGACGAGGGGCGACAACGGGAGCUGCGCGCCCGGAAGGAGGUUGUCGUCAUGCUCGUGCAGUGAGUUGGUGGUGAUGAUAGUAUGCUCGGCGGCCACUGGAGGCGAUGCAUGUGGUGUAGGAACCAUGGGAGGUGAUGUGUCUGGACAGAGGUGGCAGCGAAGGAGCAGUGUGUAGAGGUGGCGGGGGCGACCGGACGGGGGCCCCGAGCGCGCAACACGAGAGGUCCGACGAAUGGCCCGGUGGCUACUGGAUAUGGGUGAAGGUGGGGGCGUGUGGGUGUUGCUCCUGUUGGAUAUGGGUGAAGGUGGGGGAUGGCCGGCGUUGGAGAGGGAGAGGAGCAGGGCGCUGUGGGGGGAGAGGCGCCAGGGAGGAGGGCGACGAGGGGAAGCGAGGGAGGCGUGGGGCGUGGCUGGCGAGUGGGUGGGGAACGAGGGGGUAUUCCCCUCGUGAUGGGUGGGUGUGACAGCGGUGUGGGGGUAGUGGGGGGGGGCUCGGUUGGGGCUAGGGUUCCCAGUGGGUAUUAUACCCUGAUACGUCUCAAACGUAUCUAUAAUUUUUGAUUGUUUCAUGCUGUUAUCUUGCCAUCUUUGGAUGUUUUAUGUACCUCUUAUAUUUUUUUGGGGACUAACUUAUUAAUUCAGUGCCAAGUGCCAGUUCCUGUUUUUUCUGUGUUUUUGGCUCUUUUCAGAUCUGAUUUUGGAACGGAGUCCAAACGGAAUAAAAUCCCCGAAAUGAUUUUUUCCNUGACCUAGAUCUUGCGCCUAUAUAUUCCCUAAAAAUAAGAAAAAAAUCAAGGCAUCCAGGAAAAUACUUUUCUGCCGUCGCAAGCUUCCGUUUCUGCGAGAUCUCAUCUGGAGACCCUUCCCGGUGCCCUGCCGGAGGGGACUUCGGAGUUGGAGGGCUUCUUCAUCAUCAUCAUCGCCCUACAAUGACUCGUGAGUAGUUCACUUCAGACCUACGGGUCCGUAGUUAGUAGCUAGAUGGCUUCUUCUCUCUCUUGGAUCUUCAAUACAAAGUUCUCCAUGAUCUUCAUGGAGAUCUAUCCGAUGUAAUCUUCUUUGGCGGUGUGUUUGUGAAGUCCGAUUAAUUGUGGAUUUGUGAUCAGAUUAUCUAUGAUAUAUAUUUGAGUCUUUGCUGAUUUCUUAUAUGCAUGAUUUGAUAUCCUUGCAAGUAUCUCCGAGUCUUGGGUUUUGUUUGGCCACCUAGAUCUAUGAUUCUUGCAAUGGGAGAAGUGCUUGGUUUUGGGUUCUUACCAUGUUGUGACCUUUCCUAGUGACAGUAGGGGCAGCAAGGCACACAUCGUAUAGUUGCCAUCAAGGGUAACAAGGUGGGCUGUGUCGUAGAUAUGAGAUUGUCCAUCUACAUCAUGUCAUCUUGCUUAAGGCGUUACUCUGUUCUUUUGGACUUAAUACACUAGAUGCAUGCUGGAUAGCGGUCGACGUGUGGAGUACUAGUAGUAGAUGCAGAAAGUAUCGGUCUACUUGUUUUCGACGUGAUGCCUAUACAUAUAAUCAUUGCCGUAGAUGACGUCACGACUUUGCGCGGUUCUAUCAAUUGCUCGACAGUAAUUUGUUCACCCACCAUCUACUUGCUUUCAUGAGAGAAGCCACUAGUAAACACUAUGGCCCUCGGGUCUAUUCACACCUAUCGUUUCCACUUUUGCUUUUACUUUGCUUUGUUACUUUGUUGCUUUCAGUUCUCACUUGGCGAACAAUCUAUAAGGGAUUGACAACCCCUUCAUAGCGUUGGGAGCAAGCUUUUGUGUUUGUGCAGGCUCUUGUGAUACUCCUUCACUAGAUCGAUACCUUGGUUCUCAAACUGAGGGAAAUACUUACCACCGCUGUGCUACAUCACCCUUUCCGCUUCGAGGGAACACCAACGCAAGGCUCCAAGGCCACGGGGGAAAUCCUUUGCAUAUUUUCCUAGGAUGUCCCUUAAGGCGUAGCCGUAGCAGAAGGAUUCCUGGUGCCGUCGACACACCUAUCUCUGGCGCCAUUGGAAGGUCUUUUGUUGCAGUAGCAGAAAUAUUUCUGGCGCUGUUGCCGGGGAGGAGAGAUCUAUCCAAGUAGGUCUCACAAACUCAUAUCUUGCAUUUACUUUUGUGCCAGUUGCCUGUUGUUUUCCUCUCCCCCACUUCACAUUUGCCGUUUCCUUUUGCCUUUCCCGUUUGCCUUUCCUUUGCUUGUGUGCUAUGUGCCUUCAAUAUGCUUGCAUCUUCGCUUGCUGAAAAUCUAUUGAUAUGGAUCCUCAUCCACUAGCUAAUCUCUUUAAGAGACCCACUUACGUGGAACGAAUUCCUAGUGAGUUGAGUGCACUUGACUAUCUUUAUGGAGUUUUGCUUGAGAUGCGUGAAUCUCAAAAUUGUGAGGAAGAAAUUUAUGAAGUGAUUCACGAGAUCUGCUUGGAUGAAAAGCAUGAUUGCAAUGGUUUCACUAUAAAUUCUAUUAGUGAUAAUCAUGCUAAAAUUAUGCAAAGCCCCAAGCUUGGGGAUGCUAGUUUUGCUUUGUCCACAACUUUGUUGCUUUCAGUUCUCACUUUCUUAUGAUCUUGAAAAUUUGUUCAAACCUCAUGAUGAAUAUGAUAUUUGCAACAAUACUGAAAGUAGGAUUGGAGAAGUCAUGACUUUAUGUGAUGAUAAUCCCACAAUUUUUGAAGAGCAUCAACUUUGCAUGCAUGUGGAUCAUGAAAAGAAUAUCCUAUGGGAUAGCUAUAUUGUUGAAUUUGAAUAUGAUCCCACAUGUAAUUGCUAUGAGAGAGGAAAAUAUUGUGGUAGAAACUUUCAUGUUACCAAAUCACCUCUCGUUAUGUUGAGAUUGCUAUUGUCUCUUUCUUCUUCCUUGCAUAUGGUAACUAUUGGUUGUCUUGCCAAUUUGUUCUCCUAUAAAAUGCCUAUGCAUAGGACGUAUGUUAGACUUAGAUGUGAUUUUCACAUGCUUUAUGAUGCUCUCGUUGUGCUUCAAUUCUUGUCUUUUGUGUGAGCAUCAUUAAAAUCCUUUUUCCUAGCUAAGGGCGUUAAACAAAAGCGCUUGUUGGGAGGCAACCCAACGAAUCUAUCCUUUUUCUUUCUGUUUUGUGUUUUCCACACUUUCAUAUUCUGUUAUGAUUGUGUUUUUUGUGUUUCAUUUUGCGUUUGUGCCAAGCAAAACCAUUAUGAUUAGUCUUGGGAAUGAUCGUUUGGUCAUGCUGGAAAAGACAGAAACUUUCUGCUCACGAAAAGAAUGUUCGUUUUUUUCUGUAAGAGAUUUUGAGAUGAUUAUUUUUGCUGCUGAUUGCUAUGCAAAUUCUUCAGACUGUCGUAAUUUUCCAGAAUUUUUGGAGUACCAUAAGUAUACGAAAUAUACAGAUUGCUACAGACUGGUCUGCUGUUAACAUAUUCUGUUUUUGUUGUGUUGGUUGCUUAUUUUGAUGAAACUAUGGAUAGUAUCGGGGGGGUUACUAGCCAUGGAAGAUUGAAAAUACAGUAACCCAACAUCAGCACAAGUAUAAUUUAAGUUUGCUACAGUACCUAAGGAAGUGGUGGUUUGCUUUCUCAUACUAAUGUUAUCACGAGUUUCUGUUUAAGUUUCAUGUUGUGAAGUUUUCAAGUUUUGGGUGAAGUUCUUAUGGACAAAGAGAUAAAGAGUGGCAAGAGUGCAAGCUUGGGGAUUCCCAAGGCACCCCAAGAGAUUCAAGGAUGUCGUAAAAGCCUAAGCUUGGGGAUGCCCCGGGAAGGCAUCCCCUCUCUCAUCUUCAAUCCAUCGGUAACGUUACUUGGGGCUAUAUUUUUAUUCACCACAUGUUAUGUGUUUUUGCUUGGAGCGUCUUGUAUCGUAGGAGUCUUUUAUUUUUGUUGUGUCACAAUCAUCCUUGCUGCGCACCUAGAGAGAGAGACAUGCACUCACCAUGAUUUUGUCGAGCUUCACUUAUAUCCUUUGGUAGACAAUUCAGCUCACAUGUGCUUCACUUAUAUCUUUUGAGCCAGGUACUUUUGCUCUAUGUGUUUCACUUAUAUAUUUUAGAGCACAGCGGUACGUGUCUUGGUAGUUGAUCUAUGCUUUGAAAGUAGUCUCAAAAGGGGUAGUUAUCCAAAGGGAUACGAAAACUUCCACCUUCAUGUGCAUUGAAUAGUUAGAGAAGUUUGAUUCAUCUCAAUUAGUUUUGAGUUGUGGUUAUGGUAAUAUUGAAGUCAUGUUAGUAAGGUGUUGUGGAUCUAGAAAUACUUGUGUUGAAGUUAGUGAUUCCUGUAGCAUGCACAUAUGGUGAAGCGCUAUGUGAUGAAAUCUGAGCAUGAUUAGUCUAUUGAUUGUCAUCCUUUGCGUGGCGGUCGGGAUCGCGCGAUGGUUUAUACCUACCAACCCUUCCCCUAGGAGUAUGCGUUGAAUGCUUUGUUUCGAUUACUAAUAAAACUUUUGCAACAAGUAUAUGAGUUCUUCAUGACUAAUGUUGAGUCCAUGGUUUAGAUGCACUUUCACCUUCCACCACCACUAUCUUCUUAGUGCCGUGCAACUUUCGCCGGUGCACAAAACCCACCAUUAGCCUCCCUUAAAACAGCCACCGUACCUACCUACUAUGGCUUUUUCAAAGUCAUUCCGAGAUAUAUUGCCAUGCAACUACCACCAUGACAUGUGCCAUCAUGUCUACAUUGCCAUUACAUGAUCGUAAGAUAGAUAGCAUGAUGUUUCCAUUAAUGUCUAUGCCAUGCUAGAUCAUUGCCACGGUACACUACCGAAGGCAUUCCAUAUAGAGUCAUCGUUGCUCUAAGUUUUGAGUUGAAAGUGUGAUGAUCAUCAUUGAUGCAGCAUUGUCCCAUGUGAGGAAAUAAAAGAGGCCAAAGAAGCCCACCAAAAUAAAAAAUAAAAAAAUAAAAAAAGGGGCCAAAGAGCCCACCAAAAAAAUAAUAAAAAAAUGAGAGAAAAAGAGAGAAGGGACAAUGCUACCACUUUUUCCACACUUGUGCAUAUUAAGCACCAUGAUCUUCAUGAUUGAGAGUCUCUCGUUUUGUCACCACCAUAUAGCUAGUGGGAAAUUUUCAUUAUAUAACUUGGCUUGUAUAUUCCAAUGAUAGGCUUCCUCAAAAUUGCCUUAGGUCUUCGUGAGCAAGCAAGUUGGAUGACACCCACUAGUUUUCUUUAAGAGCUUUCACAUACUCGUAGCUCUAGUGCAUCAUUCGUAUGGCAAUCCCUAAUCAUUCACAUUGAUAUCUAUUGAUGAGCAUCUCCACAGCUCAUUGAUAUGCCGAGUUAAUGUGACCAUCUUCUCCUUGUUUUGUCUUGCAACCUCCACCACACUCCACACCAUCUAUAGUGCUAUAACCAUGGCUCACGCUCAUGUAUUGCGUGAGAUUGAAAAGGUUUGAGAAAGUAAAGCUGUGAAACAAUUACUUGGCCAAUACCGGGGUUGUGCAUGAUUUAAAUUCGUUGUGCAAUGAUGAUAGAGCAUAGCCAGACCAUAUGCUUUUGUAGGGAUAACUUUCUUUUGGCCUUGUUAUUUUUGAAGUUCAUCAUUACCUUGCUAGUUUGCUUGAAUUAUUAUUGUUUCCACGUCAAUAGCAAACUAUUGUUUUGAAUCUAAUGGAUCUGAACAUUCACGUCACAUAAGAGGAGUUACAAAGGACAUCUAUGCUAGGUAGCAUGAAAGCAUCAAAAAUUCAUUCUUUAUCACUUCCCUACUCGAGGACGAACAUGAGUUAAGCUUGGGGAUGCUUGAUACGUCUCAAACUUAUCUAUAAUUUUGAUUGUUUCAUGCUGUUAUCUAGCCAUCUUUGGAUGUUUUAUGUACCUUUUAUAUCUUUUUUGGGACUAACUUAUUAAUUCAGUGCCAAGUGCCAGUUCGUGUUUUUUCUGUGUUUUUGGCUCUUUUCAGAUCUGAUUUUGGAACGGAGUACAAACGGAAUAAAAUCCCCGAAAUGAUUUUUUCCCAAACGAAAGAAGAUCAGGGGGCUUGUGGGCCAAGCCAGGAGGGCUAUAGGGAGCCCACAAGCCCCCACUCCGCCACCAAGGGGGGGGGGCGGUGGGCAGGCUUGUGGCCUCCCUGGCGCCCCCUGACCUAGAUCUUGCGCCUAUAUAUUCCCUAAAAAUCAGAAAAAAUGAAGGGAUCCACGAAAAUACUUUUACUCCUCCGGAAGCUUCCGUUUCCGUGAGAUCUCAUCUGGAGACCCUUCCCGGUGCCUUGCCGGAGGGGACUUUGGAGUUGGAGGGCUUCUUCUUCAUCAUCAUCGCCCCUCCAAUGACUCGUGAGUAGUUCACUUCAGACCUACGGGUUAGUAGUUAGUAUCUAGAUGGAUUCUUCUCUAUCUUGGAUCUUCAAUACAAAGUUCUCCAUGAUCUUCAUGGAGAUCUAUCUGAUGUAAUCUUCUUUGGCGCUGUGUUUAUCGAGAUCCGAUGAAUUGUGGAUUUGUGAUCAGAUUAUCUAUGAUAUAUAUUUGAGUCUUUGCUGAUUUCUUAUAUGCAUGAUUUGAUAUCCUUGUAAGUCUCUCCGAGUCUUGGGUUUUGUUUGGCCAACUAGAUCUAUGAUUCUUGCAAUGGGAGAAGUGCUUGGUUUUGGGUUCUUACCAUGUGGUGACCUUUCCCAGUGACAAUAGGGGCAGCAAGGCACACAUCAUGUAGUUUCCAUCAAGGGUAACAAGAUGGGCUUUGUCGUAGAUAUGAGAUUGUCCAUCUACAUCAUGUCAUCUUGCUUAAGGCGUUAGUCUGUUCUUUUGGACUUAAUACACUAGAUGCAUGUUGGAUAGCGGUCGACGUGUGGAGUAAUAGUAUUAGAUGCAGAAAGUAUCGGUCUACUUGUUUUGGACGUGAUGCCUAUAGAUAUAAUCAUUGUUGUAGAUGACAUCACGACUUUGCGCGGUUCUAUCAAUUGCUCGACAAUAAUUUGUUCACCCAUCGUCUACUUGCUUUCAUGAGAGAAGCCACUAGUAAACACUACGGCCCCCGGGUCUAUUCACACCUAUCGUUUCCACUUUCACUUUUACUUUGCUUUGUUACUUUGUUGCUUUCAGUUCUCACUUGGCGAACAAUAUAUAAGGGAUUGACAACCCCUUCAUAGCGUUGGGAGAAAGCUUUUGUGUUUGUGCAGGCUCUUGUGAUACUCCUUCACUGGAUCGAUACCUUGGUUCUGAAACUGAGGGAAAUAGUUACCACCGCUGUGCUACAUCACCCUUUCCGCUUCGAGGGAACACCAACGCAAGGCUCCAAGCCACGGGGGAAAUCCUUUGCAUAUUUUCCUAGGAAGUCCCUUAAGGCGUAGCCGUAGCACAAGGAUUCCUUGUGCCGUCGACACACCUAUUUCUGGCGCCGUUGGAAGGUCUUUUGUUGCAGUAGCAUACCCCCUGGCGAGUUGGGCUGUGGGGGGGGGGGAUCGGCCGGCUGGGCCAUUUGGCCUAGUUGGGCCGGGGGCUUUUGGGGUUUUUCCUAUUUUUAGUUACUUUUUUAUAGUUUCUAUUUUAAAUAUAUGGGGGUUUUAAAUAAUUUUAAGAAUGCCCGAUUCAAUUCUAUAAUUUAUUAAGAAAUAUCUGUAACUCAUCCGACAUUUUUAUUUUAACAUUCAAAAACUUUUUCGUUCGACUUAUUUUUAAAUUUUGAAUUUAACUCGGUAUCAACUAACACGAGAUCAACAAUAGUAAUCAUGGUGACAUGGCAUCAUUAGCAUGUGAUCAAUGUAGCUUAGUUACAUAUAGUACUGUAGCAAAAGCCGAGGAUGUCACAACUCUCCCCUACUAAUAAGAAUUCUCGUCCCAAGAAUUAAGAGGUAGAAGGAAAAAGGUCGGGGUAUUCAUCAGGAAGAUGAUCCUCGCGUUUCCAAGUGGCUUCAUCUUCAGAAUGAUUUGACCACUGCACUUUAAGGAACUUGGUUACUUUGCGACGAGUUUGACGUUCAGCCUGGUCGGUAAUGUGGACCGUAUGCUCUCUAUAAGAGAGGUCUUGUUGUAUCUCAAGCAUAUCAUGAUCCACUGCUCGAAUAGGAUCCUUGAAGCAGCAGCGGAGCUGAGACACAUGGAAGACAUUGUGAACCUGAGAAAGGUUCGUCGGCAGUUCCAAUUGAUAAGCCACUUUCCACGCCUUUCGAGAACUGUGAAAGGACCAAUAUAGCGAGGAGCUAACUUGCCCUUGAUCCCAAAAUGAUGUGUACUCUCAUUGGUAUGACACAAAGAUAAGGCUUUUCACUAGGUUGAUAGACCAUAUCUUGAUGAUGACAGUCAUACUGACUCUUCUGACGAGACUGAGUAGCCUUCAGAUUCUCAUGAAUAAUGCGGACUUGAUCUUCAUCAUGUUGGAUAAUAUCCGGACCGAAGAGUGAUUGGUCCAUUGAACGGUGGCUCGGGAAUUACAUACGAAGCCAAAUGUAAAGGAUACUUUGGAGUCAAAGAUAUACAUGAGAGUCAUGUUUCAAUCCUAUGGAACUUUGGGUUAGGGGUCCACCAUGUGGGCCGAGAGUAGUCAGAGCGGUGGCUUCUUAUACGGUCUUGGUAGCAAUACAUGUCAGAGGAUAGUCUGUCAGUGAUGUUGGCAACAACGUCGGUACCAAGGGCGAGGGACGAUUAGAACCAUUUUCCUGCUUGUUUGAAACAAGAUGGACCAAGAGGCAAAGUUCUCGUCCACCGGCGGCUACCGAAAUUUUAUCCACUAUAGUAACAGGGUCUUAUGGACAAAGUUGUAUACCGAGGUUGUUACAUAAGCAUGGAAUUAACACUGCAUAGAUAAGUUAUGCCACAAGAAAGGUCAAACAGACCAAAUGGAAGGAAAACAUGUUCACACACACAAGCAUUAGAGUAUACCAUUCUCGAGGAAAAAUAGGGUAUGGUAUACGUGAUAGGUCAUCAAGUACAUAACCAUUUUGAUAAAGAGGCAAGAAGAAUCGCGAUGUUUACCCAUACCAUACGGUUUGGAUAAUUGAUCACGACUAAUUUAGCAUUGCGCUUCCAAUGUUCCUGUUGACAUUGAAGUACCACAUCCGUGCUCCCGGAUAGCAUCGACAUGGUCAUCCGAUAAAGGUCGGACCAACGGGCACACAAAGAGGAUCCACGAGGAACAACUUAUGAAAUAAGUCAUAUAGUUUUCCACAUGGUAGAAUGGAUAACCUUACACAUGGAAGAAUUUAUGACAAUAGGUCCUUCGGCCCGGUGUGUUGGAAAGACGACACCGUACCGGUUUACCUAAAGACCAAAGUUAUAAUUAUUGGGAAAUGUUCCAACCAUCAUAUCUGCCCGAGAUUCAGAUCUGAUUGGUGUCGGGACACCUCAGACUCAAGAUGCGUGAGAAUAAAAAUGAUGAUGCAAGAUUCUCAUGCUAUGAGCUACACAAGCAAUUUUUGAAUCAUGAGUUGGACUAUAAGACAUAUGAACACAAUGUCAAUACAUUCGUGCCCACAUAGAAUUCUUACAUCAAAAUGCAACGCGUCCUCAUUUGGAAACCAUCAUCGAGGAUAAUAAGGUUCCAUGUGUAAAUCUGGAUUAGCUCUUAUGAAGGAACUUAUUUUCCCUCGAUCAAAUCAGUCAGUGGCUUGGGGUGCUAAGAGAAAUUAUAUGGAGUGAAGAUAGCAAAUCUUCAAAACAUAAAACACUUCACACAUGCGUGAAUGACUUGGGAAGAUCCUAGAAGAAGCAAAACAAAACUUCAACAUAUUCACGGUGGGAAGAAUACAUAUGAACUUUGGGGAAACAUUUCUGCUAUCAAUCACAUUCUUCAUGAGCUAGGCACAAGGAUAAUGCUUUCAGGAGCUUCAUCGCCGACCCAUGAAUAAGUUGACGGUAUUUGUCGAUGGGCUCAACAACAAUCCCUCAAGAUUUUGACAGGGAUGAAUUUCCAAAAUUAUAAUAUCAAGGAGAUAGUAUUUGUCAAAUCAAAUGGUAUAAUGUCGUAUGCUCGAGGGAACAACAACAAUUAAACAUUGGUCGAAGGGUGCACUCGGAAAUACGGACGGAGUAGCACAACCAAUGUCAAAAAUGAUGAGUCAACACUCAGCACAGUAAGAAUGAAACAAUUAGUUGUUAACCUCAAGGUAAUAGGGUUGCCAGAAGUAUUGGAAUCACACAUCAGAGUUCACUUGUUGGUAUUCCGGUUUGAAACAACAUGGGACCAAGAAAUGAAUAGUGAUGGCGAGAAGUAUUACUAUAUCAAGAAUUCUUAAGAGGUGCAAUGAUGCUCACAACAUUAUUGACAUAAAAGAUAGUAAUACUCCAAGGUAGAAGAUACCAUAAGCUGAAUAAGAAGGAACUUAAGGGACAACACAAAACAUGAUCAAGUUUGUGUUGGAGGGAAGGCAAACAAGGAUGUCGAUGAUAAUACAAUUCAUCGAGGGGGAGGGAUGGUAUUUGUCAACAUGCAUUCGAUUGAUACCCUACAAGAGCUCGGAAUGCUGAUGAUGAUUACGACACAUUUAUCGAGAAGCUUCACAAAGUUGUAAUCGAUCAGCGAUGACAUCAAGCAAAUGAAUGGUGAAGCUAAAGGUUGUCGGAAACACAGUUAAGACUGCUAGCUCAGAAUCGAAAUUGCCUUUCAAAACAACCAAUAUGAUGUGGAAAGCUCGAUGUGAGAUUAACGCAUAGUUGGAAAUAGGUUCUAGAGAUGGAGGACAUAGAUAGCAUGGUCAAGCUCCAACAUGACAAUGAUGAUGUAGCUUAACAACUUGGAAUGACAUGAUCGAGUACAAACUCCUAAGAACUACUAAGAGUUGUUGAAUCACAAUGCGUACUCAGUUCAGUUAUCGGUAUCCUUGAGUGUCCAAUAACUCAAAACACGGGGAAAACUGGAAUUGAUGAAAAUAUCAUAGUUGACGAGGAGCUCACAAGAAGUUAUAUAGCUCCGCGAUAUCCUCGAGCUACAAGGGAUAAUACUCGGAGGUAGAUCAACAUUAAGGCUUGGACCGAUGUAUUGAUCUAAAGAAGACAAGUACUUUAACUCGUUUGAGAAUGAAAUCAAGGUAGGACAACAUGGUCGGAACCACAAUUCUGAAGGACAAGAUCACAUAUACCAGAUUUAAACCACAGAAUGAAUGAUUAUUGAUACGAGAAGCUUCUAUGAUAGGAUCAAUGUCGUUUCCAUGGGCAUGAACACAAAGUUCAAGGCCGACUCCCACUUCAUCAAUGCAUCACCUGCCAUUUACUCCUCGCCUUUGAUCAGGUUGUAACUUUGAAAGGAUAUUUGGCAAAGCAUUAGAAGAGUAAAACUCAUGAGAACUUUUCGAAUCAUAUUGAUUUAGGAAAGCAUGGGUUCAACCUGUCGGGGCAUCUUAGGAACAUAUACCAUACACUCCAAAAGUAAUUAACACAUGCUUGAAGGACAUGGCUCACAAAAACGUAGGGUACAACUUAUAAGAGGGAGAAGACACAAUUUACCAAUGGCAUCAUGUGUGAGGGGAAGCAAUCACAAGAAUUUUUGAAAGCAAAGGAUGCCGUCGGAUAAUAACCUAGAAUGAGUCUGGCAUUCCACAAAAUAUCUGAUGUUAGUAUCGGUACUCAAUCAGAGGGGGGUAAAACGCAAGGCAUCGGAUUAUAGAACAUCUGAAAAAAUAUCGAUACUUAAUUACCAAAGGAAUUAGGAUUUCUAGGUUGGUGUAUCAUAAUCAGAUGCUCUGAUCAAAUACAAGUAAGUUGAAUGUACUUAGAUGGACAACCAACCAAAGUUGAUUUGUCGAGAACCAGCUCUGUUUGAAUGGUCAUCUAAGCCGGAAGAUAAUUUAUGAGUAUCAGCACAUGAUUGUGUGCAUUCACACAAAGGUAGAAUCAAUAACAUCACAGGAAAAUCACAAAGGAUUUUAAUGAACGCGGCUAGACAUAUGGAUUUAACCAUAAUGCAAGCAGAUGAGAAGGGUCAAGAGCAAUAGGCUAUUGGGGAUUCCAAAAGAUCGAAUAACAAUUUGAAGAACUUUCGAAACCCAUGAAAACUCAUGACGGACGAAUCCCUGAUAAGAUAAUUCGUUGCAUCUCGUAAAACAAGAGCAAUUGAAAAGCAAACAUGAAUGAUAUUUGUAUGUAGUCAUCCAUAGUGGUUGACGGAGGAAGGGAAAUCGCAAAAGCGAUGAGCACAAGUUCUCGAGAGAACAACAGAGAGUAUCUUCAGAAUCUUCUGAUGAAUCAAGCCAUCAUCUCGAAUGAGGGGCUCUCCGGGUGGAAUUAGUUACGAGAACCUAGGGUUAGAGUUAGCAAAACCUUUAACUCGAAAGAGAAGAGAGAGUAGAAUCCAGAGUAUAGAAAAGGAGUAAAAGAUACUAAUACCACCCGAUUGAGAUGUGGGACCGUAAGCCACAACAUCUAUGUUAGUAAAGUUUUUCAAACACUAGACUCAACUUCGGCCAAGGAGUUGGAAAGGGGGCUACCUACAGGCAGUCGACUCUGAUAACAACUUGUGACACCCUCGAUUUAAUCGUACGCUAAUCAUACUCGCAAAUGCGUACGAUCAAUCUAAAGGACUCACGGGAAGAUAUCACAACACAACUCUAGACACAAAUGAAACAAACAAGCUUCAUAUUACCAGCCAGGAGCCUCGAGGGCUACAAUACAGAAGUUUGAAAAACACACGAGUUAGAGGAAGCAAAAAUAUAUGAGUACAAACAUUAAACACGAGGUGCCUUAGAGAAGGCUAGCACAAAAGAAGCACGAUCGAACGAGGCGAGGCCUCCUUCCUGGGAGCCUCCUAACUACACCUGGUCUUCAGCGGCCUCCACGAAGAAGUUACCAUCACGGUGGCAGGCGUCGGCAGGAAACUCCAUCUCCUGGGCUCCAUCAUCUGGUAGCAACAACGGAUCAAGGGGACAAAGGGGGAGCAAAGAAACAGUGAGUACUCAUCCAAAGUACUCGCAAGACUUAUAUCAGAACUAUGCUAAGUAUGCAUCAGUAUCAAAGAAUGGGUUUAUGUGGACUGACUGCAGCAAUGCAAGAAUGGAGAGAGAAGGCCUAGUCCUAUCGAAGACUAGCAUCUUCAGGGGUCUUGCAGCAACAUGUGUGAGUAGAAUAGGGGAACACAAAUAAUAGUCAUAUUGUUGCAGCAAUAUUAAUAUGAGGUCACGCCUAGAGAUCCUCCCUCGACUCCGUGAGAGGAAGCAAUCCCGGAGCAACUAUUCCAGUUAGGUAACAAUUAUAGUUGUAUAAGAUCAGGGCACAACUCCAAGUCAUCCUGUAACCGUGGACACGGCUAUUCGAAUAGACAAGUUCUUCCCUGCAGGGGCGCACAACAUAUUCCCCGUCACACUCGAUAACACUCUGGCCGAACACACUUUUCUGGGUCAUGCCCGACCUCGGAAUAUCGACACGUCGCAUCCCCAACUAAGCUCAACAGAGAGGCCAGCUCGCCGGUCUAACUCCUAAGCACAAAGGAGUCGUGAGCCCACUUGCCCUCUGCGCUCCUGCAUGAUGCGUGGGUGGCCGACGUCAGUCCUAGCACCCCUUAUAACAUGUGCGAUGCAUCUCGGGUCCACUCGGGCGCGCGUCGCUCCAUCGCUGACGUCUGAAGAGCUUCGACUGAUACCACGACGUCGAGUAACCACAAUUCUUUCCACGAAGACGAUGAGUGCGUAAUAAGGCCUUCCAACUAACCCAGAUCAAAUACCAAAAUCCAUUAUCAUUUUAUUUAAGCCAUCAACACAUCCACGCGGGAAUCCACCCGCCUAACAUAUAUUCAUCAAAGAUCCCAGUAACAUGGUCAAGUAACUGUGUGGUUGUAACAUUAGGGGGAAUCCAAGGUAUCACCCUCGCUGGAUUCCGAACGAUGUAUCGGUCAAGGUGGACUUAGAGGAAUCACCCUCGAGGGUCCCACACUUGAGGGGUUGCACGACAGAGACAUCGUCGGGAGUUGUAAAGGAGGAAUCACCCUCGAUAACCACAACCGACUAGCUACACUGCAAAGGUAUCAUCAUGAGUACUUCGCGAGCUGUCACACUCAGUACCCAUAGUAGGUCUGUAGUGCUGCACAACUAAGGGGGGGGGGGGUGUACGUGCUCUGUCGGUCCUGGCUCAUCGAUGAGGGAUCGAGACUUGAUGACAAAACGGGGCAACUAGACUAAGGGGUCAGAGGGGAUGACUGCUCCACCGAUACCAAACAGUUUUAAAGUGCAGUACUGAAAGUAGCAAUUUAUUAGAAAUAGGCUAUGCAUUAGAUAUAGGAGUUAACUACAACAGUAACAAAAUUCUAGUGCAAGCAUGGGAAGAAAGACAUAGGCGAUAUGGGUAUAAUCAAGGGGGUUUGCUUGCCUUGUUGCUCUGCGGCAAAGGCUGGUCGUCAGGAGGGUAGAUGUACCCGGCAACAUCGUCAAUCUCGGGGUCUACUCAUAAGAAGAGGGGGGAGAAACAAUAAAUAACAGCAACAGGUGCAACACUAAGCAUGACAUGGCAAAUGCAGGUCUACGCAUGAGCUAACGCAGUAAAUAUCCGUCAUAGACGGGUCGGGAAAAUAUCACAUGAUAUUUCUCGGAUCUGUGGCUACUGCCGGUGAGACUGAAAACGAUAGAAAAGUUCCACGUUUGCUAUGCUAGGGACGCGCGACAGACGAAUGGACCGCGUAUCCGGGUUCGUCUCGUUCAGGUGAUCAACUUUCAUGUUGAAAAUAUUUUGAUCUGACUUACUAUUAAUUUUAUAUUAAUUUUUAAAGUUUUAUUCAUAUUUAGGAAUUAAAAACAGAUUUAUUUAACUAUUAAAUGCUAUUAUGACAUUAGCAUGAUGUCAUGCUGACAUCAGCAGUUAACUGGUCAAACUGACCAGUUGGUCCCAUGUGUUAUAUACACAAUUUUUAAUUAGGGUUAAUUAUUAACUAAUGAGAUUAAUUUAGCGAGGGACCCACGUGUCAUAUUCUAAUAGGAUAAUUUAAUUAUCUAAUUAACAUAUUACUAAUUACUCUUAAGCAUAUAUUUACUAAUAAAUAAAUAAAUUAAUAAAUUAAUAAAUAAAUAAAUUAAUUAUUUAAUUUAACUAACUAUUAAAAUAUUAUUUUUACAUUAUUUUUAUUCUUUUAUUUCAAGAGAGGGUUGUGCGGAGCCUCCUUGUCAGUGGGAGUGGGGGGUUGGCCCCACAUGGCAGUGGCCCACCGCCCACAAACAACACACACACACUCUGUACACCAAAUUUCACAUACACACGCAUACACAUAUACACAUUUUUACACACAUCCAUGUAUACAUAAAAUAUAAAAUACAUUCAUAUGUAUUUAUACACAAGUAAAUUCAUCACACUAUGCACAUAUACAUACAUCUCUCACUUUGCUUAUUUUCUUUUCUUUGUCCCUUUUCUUUUUCUCUGUCCCUUUUCUUUUUCUCUGUUCUAUCUCUAUUCUAAAUCUCUCUCAACUCACAGAGGAGGGAAAUACUCCACNCGGGGAGAGCCCGGGGCUCACUUGCGGUGCACGGGGCUGGUUCAGCAAGGCUCGGGGAAGACGGUUGGGGAGGAUGACGAGGAGGUCGGCGAUGAAGCGAGGCGGUCCGGUGAGGAUGGGAACCAUGGGGCUCGGCGGCGCAGUGUUUCGACCGGUGGAGGAGUGGCCGGUGUAGUUCGACAAGGAGGAGCUCCCGGUGAUGCUCGAUGGGGAGAUGCCCCGGGGCGGGGCGCCGCGGCGCUGCCAGCGCGGCCCCAGUGCUGAUCCGACGAGAGGAGAGUGCAGGGCCGGCGGUGGUUCGGCGAGUGGAGAGGAGGGAGCCGGCGAGGAGGAGCCGACCGUUGCGGCUGUUCCGUAGGCACCACCGCAGAGCACCAUUGAGGCGGGUGAGGCACAUGUCGGUGUGGUUCACAGCGGUGGCGAUGAUGGGGUUGAAGCUGGCGAUGCCGGCGUAGAAGCGGGGGACACGCUCGGCUUUGUGUUUCUUGUCCACGAACACGCCAACGAGGGGGGACGAUAGGAGCUGCUGAUACGUCCAUUUUAAAUCAUGAUUUCAUGUUGAUAUUUAUCGCUUUUUGGGCUGUUAUUACACUUCACUGUACAAUACUUAUGCCUUUUCUCUCUUAUUUUGCAAGGUUUACAUGAAGAGGGAGAAUUCUGGUAGCUGGAAUUCUGGACUGAAAAGGGAGGAAGUUUGAGAUACGUAUUCUCCGCAACUCCAAAAGCCGUGAAAAUUAACGUGGAUUUUUUUUGGGAUUUAUAAAAAAUACUGGGCCGAAGAAGUACUGGAGGGGCGCCAGAAGGGGGCCACAAGCCUUCUAGGCGCGGCCACCCCCAUGGCCGCGCCUAGGGGGCUUGUGGGUUCCUAGUUGGCCCUCUGGCUCCCCCCUUUUGCUACAAGAAGGGUUUCGGUCUAGAAAAAAUCAAGAUGAGGCUUUUUGGAGGAUUCGCCGCCGCCACGAGGCGGAUCUUGAGCAGAACCAAUCUAGAGCUCUGGCAGGACGAUCCUGCCAGGGAAACUUGCCUCCCGGGGGGGAAAUCGUCGCCAUCGUCAUCACCAACACUCCUCUCAUCGGAGGGGACUCAUCACCAUCAACAUCUUCAUCAGCACCAUCUCAUCUCCUAACCCUAGUUCAUCUCUUGUAACCAAUCUCCGUCUCGCGACUCCGAUUGGUACUUGUAAGGUUGCUAGUAGUGUUAAUUACUCUUUGUAGUUGAUGCUAGUUGAAUUACUUGGUGGAAUAUUAUAUGUUCAGAUCCUUGAUGCUACGCUUUACCUCUCUGGUCAUGAAUAUGAUUAUGCUUUGUGAGUAGUUACUUUUGUUCCUGAGGACAUGGGAUAAGUCAUGCUAUAAGUAGUCAUGUGAAUUUGGUAUUCGUUCGAUAAUUUGUUGUGUUGUAUGUUGUUUUUCCUCUAGUGGUGUUAUGUGAACAUCGACUACAUAACACUUCAUCAUUAUUUGGGCCUAGUGGAAGGCAUUGGGAAGUAGUAAGUAGAUGAUGAGUUGCUAGAGUGACAGAAGCUUAAACCCUAGUUUAUGCGUUGCUUCGUAAGGAGCUGAUUUGGAUCCACUAGUUUAAUUCUAUGGUUAGACUUUGUCUUAAUUCUUCUUUCGUAGUUGCGGAUGCUUGCGAGAGGGUUAAUCAUAAGUGGGAUGCUUGUCCAAGUAAGGGCAGUACCCAAGCGUCAGUCCACCCACAUAUCAAACUAUCAAAGUAACGAAAGCGAAUCAUAUGAACAUGAUGAAAACUAGCUUGACAGAAAUUCCCAUGUGUCCUCGGGAGCGUUUUACCUCCUAUAAGACUUUGUCCAGGCUUGUCCCUUGCUACAAAAGGGACUGGGCCACUUUGUUGCACCAUUGAUACUUUUGUUACUUGUUGCUCGCUGCGAAUCAUCUCACCACACAACUACUUGUUACCGAUAAUUUUAGUGCUUGCAGAUAAUACCUUGCUGAAAACCACUUGUCAGAUCCUUCUGCUCCUCGUUGGGUUUGACAAUCUUACUUAUCGAAAGGACUACGAUAGAUCCCCUAUACUUGUGGGUCAUCAAGACUCUUUUCUGGCGCCGAUGCGGGGAGUGAAGCGCCUUUGGUAAGUGGAACUUGGUAAGGAACAUUUAUAUAGUGUGUUGAAAUUUAUUGUCAGUUGUCACUAUGGAAACUAAUACAUUGAGGGGCUUGUUCGGGGUGUCUUCACCUCGAACGAAAGCACAAAGAGUUGCUCCUCAACCUGCUUCACCUACUGAAAAUAUUUGCUAUGAAAUUCCUUCGGUUAUGCUUGAGAAACUCCUGGCUAAUCCUUUUACAAGAGAUUGAACAUCACAUCCAGACUUGCAUCUAAUCUAUGUAGAUGAAGUUUGUGGUUUAUUUAAGCUUGCAGGUUUGACCGAGGAUGAGGUCAAGAAGAAGGUCUUUCCCUUAUCUUUGAGGGAUAAGGGGUUGACAUGGUAUAGGCUAUGUGAUGAUACUGGAUCAUGGAACUACAAUCGGUUCAAAUUGGAAUUUCAUCGAAAGUUUUAUCCUAUGCAUUUAGUACAUCGUGAUCAAAAAUAUAUUUAUAAUUUUUGUCCUCGUGACAGAGAAAGCAUCGCUCAAGCUUGGGGGAGGCUUAAAUCAAUGUUAUAUUCAUGCCCCAACCAUGAGCUCUUGAGAGAAAUUAUCAUUCAAAACUUCUAUGCUCGGCUUUCUCAUGAUGAUCGCACCAUGCUUGACACUUCUUGUACCGAUUCUUUUAUGAAGAGAGAUAUUGACUUCAAAUGGAAUUUAUUGGAGAGAAUUAAAUGCAACUCUGAAGAUUGGGAGCUUGAUGAAGGUAAGGAGUCAGGUUUGAAUUUGAAGUUAGAUUGCGUUAAAUCCUUUGUUGAAACAAAUACUUUUUGUGAUUUUAGCACUAAGUAUGGACUUGAUUGUGAGAGAGUAGCUUCAUUGUGUGAAUCAUUUGCUGCUCAUAUUAAUCUCCCCAAAGAGAAGUGGUUUAAAUAUCAUCCUCCCUUAGAAGUCAAUGUAGUUAAACCCAAUCCUGUUGAAGAGAGAGUCAUUGCCUAUAAUGAUCCUGUAAUUCCCAGUGCUUACAUUGAGAAACCACCUUUCCCUGUUAGGAUAAAGGAUUAUUCUAAAGCUUCAACUGUGAUAUGUAGAGGCUACAUUAGAACAUCUACACCCCCUGAGCAAAUUAGAGUUGAACCUAGCAUUUCUAUUAUCAAAGAUCUCCUAUCCGACAAUGUUGAUGGCCAUGAUAUUCACUUAUGUGAAGAUGCUGCUAGAAUUGCUAAACCACACGCUAGAGACAAACAUAGGUCUGUUGUUGGCACGCCCGUUGUUUCUGUUAAGAUAGGAGAUCAUUGUUAUCAUGGUUUAUGUGACUUGGGUAAUAGUGUUAGUGCAAUACCUCAAUCCUUAUAUGAUGAAAUCCAAGACGAGAUUGCACCUGUUGAGAUAGAACCCAUUGAUGUCACUAUUCAGCUUGCCAAUAGAGAUACUAUCUGCCCUCUGGGAAUUCUUAGGGAUGUUGAAGUCUUAUGUGGUAAAGCGAAGUAUCCUGCUGAUUUCCUCGUUCUUGCUACCACCCAAGAUAGCUUUUGUCCCAUCAUAUUUGGUAGACCUUUUCUCAAUACUUUCAAUGCUCAUAUUGACUGUGAGAAGCAAACUGUCACUGUUGGCUUUGAAGGUGUGUCACAUGAGUUCAAUUUCUCCAAGUUUGGUAGACAACCUCAUGAAAAAGAGUUGCCUAGUCAGGAUGAAACUAUUGCCUUAGUUUCUAUUGCCGUGCCUCCUACUGAUCCUUUAGAGCAAUACUUGCUUGAGCAUGGAAAUGAUAUGCAUAUGGAUGAAAGGGAUGAGAUAGAUAGAGUUGUCUUAGAACAAUAUCCUAUCCUUAAGAAUAACUUGCGUGUUGAACUGCUUGGAGAUCCACCCCCACCAAAGGGUGAUCUUGUGUUCGAGCUUAAACAGUUGCGUGAUAUUCUUAAGUAUGCUUAUCUUGAUGAAAAACAGAUAUAUCCUGUUAUCAUUAGUGCUAGCCUCUCAGAACAUGAAGAAAAGAAGUUACUAAAAACUCUGAGGAAGCACCGUGCUGCUAUUGGAUAUACUCUUGAUGAUCUUAAGGGCAUUAGUCCCACUCUAUGUCAGCACAAGAUUAUAACUGAUCCUGAUUCCAAGCCAGUUGCUGAUCAUCAACGGAGAUUAAAUCCUAAGAUGAAAGAGGUAGUAAGAAAAGAAAUACUAAAGCUCCUGCAAGUAGGUAUUAUCUAUCCUGUUGCUCAUAGUGAUUGGGUGAGUCCGGUGCAUUGCGUCCCUAAGAAGGGAGAAAUUACCAUUGUCCCUAAUGAUAAGGAUGAAUUGAUCCCACAGAGGAUUAUUACUGGCUAUAGGAUGGUGAUCGAUUUUAGGAAAUUGAAUAAGGCCAAUAGGAAAGAUCAUUAGCCUUUGCCUGUUAUUGACCAAAUGCUAGAAAGACUAUCUAAACACACACACUUCUGCUUUCUAGACAGUUAUUCUGGUUUCUCCCAAAUGCCAGUUGCACAGGCUGAUCAGGAGAAAACCACUUUCACGUGCCCUUUCGGUACCUUUGCUUAUAGACGUAUGCCUUUUGGCUUAUGUAAUGUACCUGCCACCUUUCAAAGAUGUAUGAUGGCUAUAUUCUCUGACUUUUGUGAAAAGAUUGUUGAGGUUUUCAUGGAUGACUUCUCCGUUUACGGGUCUUCUUUUGAUGAUUGCCUAAGCAACCUUGAUCGAGUCUUGCAGAGAUGUAAAGACACCAAUCUUGUCUUGAAUUGGGAAAAGUGACACUUUAUGGUUAAUGAAGGCAUCAUCUUAGGACAUAAAAUUUCUGAAAGAGGUAUUGAAGUCGAUAAGGCUAAGGUUGAUGCAAUCGAGAAAAUUCCAAACCCCACAUAUAUCAAAGGUAUAAGAAGUUUCCUUGGUCAUGCUGGUUUCCAUAGAAGGUUCAUUAAAGACUUCUCUAAGAUUUCUAGGCCUCUUACCAAUCUCUUGCAAAAGGAUAUUUCUUUUGUUUUUGACGAUGAUUGUGAGGAAGCUUUCGAAAUACUUAAGAAGGCUUUGAUAACUGCACCUAUUGUUCAACCACCUGAUUGGAACUCACCUUUUGAAAUCAUGUGUGGUGAUAGUGAUUAUGCUGUUGGUGCUGUCCUAGGGUAAAGAGUUGAAAAGAAGUUGAAUGUUAUUCACUAUGCUAGUAAAACUCUAGCCAGUGCCCAAAGCAACUAUGCUACUAGGGAAAAUGAAUUUUUAGCAGUCGUGUUUGCAUGUCAAAAGUUCAAGUCUUACAUAGUUAAUUCCAAAGUCACUAUUCACACUGAUCACGCUGCUAUUAAGUACCUCAUGGAGAAGAAGGACGCUAAACCUAGACUUAUCAGAUUGGUUCUCUUGCUACAAGAAUUUGAUUUGCGCGUUGUCGACACGAAGGGUGCUGAUAACCCCGUAGCAGAUAACUUGUCUAGGUUGGAGAACGUUCUUGAUGACCCACAACCUAUUGAUGAUAGCUUUCCUGGUGAGCAAUUGAAUGUCAUGAAUGCUUCACGUAGUACACCAUGGUAUGCUGAUUAUGCAAACUAUAUCGUUGCCAAAUAUAUACCACCUAGUUUCACAUACGAGCAAAAGAAGAAAUUCUUCUUUGACUUGAGACAUUACUUUUGGGAUGAUCCUCACCUUUAUAAGGAACGAGUAGAUGGUGUUAUUAUACGUUGUGUACCUGAACAUGAACAGGGACAUAUCCUACAGAAGUGUCACUCCGAGGCCUACGGAGUUCACCAUGCGGGAGAUAGAACUGCACACAAGGUAUUGCAAUCAGGUUUGUAUUGGCCCACUCUCUUCAAGGAUGCCCGUAUGUUUGUCCUGUCUUCGAUGAAUGUCAAAGAAUAGGUAAUAUUGGUAAACGUCAGGAAAUGCUCAUGAACUAUUCACUCGUCAUUGAACCAUUUGAUGUCUCGGGCUUUAUUAUAUGGGACCUUUUCCAAAAUUCAACGGGUAUAGUCAUAUCCCAGUUGCUGUUGAUUACGUCACUAAGUGGGUAGAAGCUAUCCCAUCCAGUAGUGUUGAUCACAACACUUCUAUCAGGAUGCUUAAAGAAGUUAUUUUCCCUAGAUUUGGAGUCCCUAGAUAUCUAAUGACCGACGGUGGUUCACACUUCAUUCAUGGUGCUUUCUGUAAAACGCUUGCUAAGUACGAUGUCAACCAUAGAGUUGCGUCCCCUAUCACCCUCAGUCCAGUGGUCAAGUAGAGCUAAGCAAUAGAGAGAUUAAACUGAUUCUGCAAAAGACUGUCAACAGGUCUAGAAAGAAUUGGUCUAAGAAUGUCGAUGAUGCACUGUGGGCUUAUAGAACUGCUUAUAAGAAUCCCAUGGGCAUGUCUCCUUACAAAAUGGUGUACGGUAAAGCAUGUCAUUUACCUCUUGAGCUAGAGCAUAAAGCUUAUUGGGCAAUCAAAGAGCUCAACUUUGAUUUCAAACUUGCUGGUGAGAAGAGGUUAUUUGAUAUUAGCUCGCUUGAUGAAUGAGAACUCACACAUAAGAGAAUGCCAUGUUUUUCAAAGAAAAGGUUAAGAGGUGGCAUGAUAAAAGGAUACAAAAGCGUGAGUUCAAUGUAGGUGAUUAUGUCUUGCUAUAUAAUUCUCGUUUAAGAUUUUUUGCAGGCAAGCUUCUCUCUAAAUGGGAAGGUCCCUAUAUUGUUGAGGAAGUAUGUCGUUACGGUGCUAUCAAGAUCAACACCACGGAAGGUAAUUGUCCGAGAGUGGUAAAUGGGCAGAGAAUCAAGCAUUAUAUCUCAGGUACUCCCAUAAAUGUUGAAAGCAAUAUUAUCAAUACCAUAACUCCGGAGGAAUAUCUAAGGGAUAUUUAUCAGCCUGUUUCAGACUCCGAAAACGAGGAGGUAUGUGAUUCGGUAAGUAAAUAGACUCCAAAACUUUUUCAGUAGGAAUUUUUCUCUGUUUUGGAGUAUUUAGAAAAAUAGAAAAAUUCGAAGUAGUCCGGAAAGCGCACGAGGAGGCGACAUGCCUACCAGGCGCGGGCCACCCCCUGGCCUCGCGUGGGGGGCUUGUGGCCACCUCGUGUGCCUCCCGAACUGUGUUUUCUUGUGGAGUACUCCUUCUGGUCGAAAAAAAAUCAUUAUAGUUUCUCCCGUAAGGUCUGACCCUCGUAUCACUCGAAUUUCCUGUGUUUUCGUUUCCAGCCUGUUUCUGUUGCAGAUCUAGAUUGCUAUGACGUCCCCAAAAGCUCCAAAGGACAAGAUCUUCGAGAAGGUCAUCAAUCCCUACCUCACGGGAGUGCUGCAACAUCCUCAAUCUAUCGAGAUGCGUGAGGGGAUGUUGCACAAUCGUGAUGUUGAGGGGCCUAAGAAGACUGGAAGCAUGGAGGCGAGGCUCGAAGCAAUGGAGCAACAUGUCUUCAAGUUCCAAGGGAUGGUGGAGCGUGGACUCAACACCAACCACAUGAUGAUCAUGGAGUUCACCAACAAGCACAAGAUCAAUGCCAAUGACAUCGGGAAGCACCUCUACAGGCUCUAUGACAGAAUUGAUCACCUCCAAGCCGAGAUCUAUGACCUGCAAAACCAAAACUGUGAGUAUGAGUAUAUAUUUAAAUCAAUACGGUUGGCUGCAGAUUUGAGGAUUUCGGAGACUCAGUCAUAUUUCCAUGAUGGAGCACCUAUGCCUUGGAAGACGGAGGAUCAAGUCCAUGUUACAACAACUCCACCACCAUGACCGCCAAUGGAAUACAACUGAGCAUGGGUAUGGGCAAUCCCCUUGGCUUAUGCCAAGCUUGGGGGAGUUGCCCCGGUACCGUAUCACCAUCACAUCUUUUGCCUUUACCUUUGUUUUAGUUUGUUCCUUUUCAGUUUUCUCUUUCUCUAGUAGAAUAAAGGUCUUAGUGUUUUAGGCUUGAGUUUUUCUUUGUGUCACCCCCGAUGUAUUCGAGCUCGUGAGCCAUAUAAUAAAGAGUGUCUUGGUAAAGGGCCUUGCCUCAUACCAUGAUCGAAAGAAUGAGAAAAGAACAAAAGCAUGAAAGAUCAUGUAAUGAUCUUAUGGGAAGUGAUGGCUUCACAUAUAAAAAGAAUGUCGAUUGAAACUUGUUGAGGGUAGACAAACAUAGACCUUGGUCAUUGUUGCAAUUAAUAGGAAGUGAUAAAGAAGGAGAGGUUCACAUAUAAAUAUAUCAUCUUUGAUACAAUCUAUGAUUGUGAACACUCACUACACUAUUACAUGCUUAGAAGUAGAUGUUGGACAAGGAAGACAACAUAAUGAAUUGUGUUUGCUUGGUUCCGAACAAUGUUAUAUGAUUAGAGAUCCCUUAGCAUGUGACGAUUGUUUCCACCUCAUAUUAGCCAAACCUCCCGCACCAAGUAGAGAUACUAGUUGUGCAUCCAUAAACCUUCAACCCAGUUUUGCCAUGAGAGUCCACCAUACCUACCUAUGGUUUGAAUAAGAUCCCUCAAGUAAGUUGUCAUUGGUGCAAGCAAUAAAAAUUGCUCCCUAAUAUGUAUGAUCUAUUAGUGUGUGGAAAAUAAGCUUUGUACGAACCUGUGAUGAGGAAGACAUAAAAGCGACAGACUACAUAAUAAAGUUCUUUAUCAGAGGAGGCAAUAUAAAGUGACGUUCCUCCACACUAAGAGGACACACAUCCAAACCUCAAAAGCGCAUGACAACCUCUGCUUCCCUCUGCGAAGGGCCUAUCUUGUACCUUUACUUUUUGCCCUUGAAAGAGUCAUGGUGAUCUUCACCAAUUCCUUAUUUUGCCUUUAUCUUGGCUAACGUCAUAUGCUAGGGAAAGAUCUAUAUUCAUAUGUCAACUUGGAAGUAAGUAUUAAUGAAUUAUUAUUGCUGACAUUAUCCUUGAGGUAAAUGGAUGGGAGGCAAAACUAUAAGCCCCUAUCUUUCUCUGUGCCCAACUGAAACUUUGAUCUCAUGAGUACCACGUGAGUUGUAGCAAUUGUAGUGAAUGAAAAGAUGAUUGAGUAUGUGUAUUUGCUUUACAAGCUCUUAUUUGACUCUUUCCGAUGUUGUAAUAAAUUGCAAUUGCUUCAUUGACUAAAGGCUAUCUGUUCUUAAUUCUCGGUAAGGUUCUUUAUCCAUGCUUUACUCUAUGAAGGAAUUGUCACUUUAGCAUAAGAGAUUAUAUGAUGGUAUUGCUGUUCUAAUCAUGGUCAUGAUGCCUGCAUGUUAUUAUCUUGUUUUGUCGACACCUCACUACCUAAACCUGUGGGCAUAUUUAUUGAUCUCGGCUUUCGCUUGAGGACAAGCGAGGUCUAAGCUUGGGGGAGUUGAUACGUCCAUUUUGCACCAUGUUUUCAUGUUGAUAUUUAUCGCUUUCUGGGCUGUUAUUACACUUCACAGUACAAUACUUAUGCCUCUUCUCUCUUAUUUUGCAAGGUUUACAUGAAGAGGGAGAAUACCGGCAGCUGGAAUUUUGGCCUGAAAAGGGAGCAAGUUUGAGAUACCUAUUCUGCGCAACUCCAAAAGCCGUGAAAAUCAACGUGGAUUUUUUUGGGAUUUAUAAAAAAUACUGGGCCGAAGAAGUACCGGAGGGGCGCCAGCAGUGGGCCACAAGCCUGCUAGGCGCGGCCACCCACCUGGCUGCGCCUAGCGGGCUUGUGGGCACCCAACUGGCCCUCUGGCUCCCCCCUUUUGCUACAAGAAGGGUUUCGGUCUGGAAAAAAAUCAAGAGGAGGCUUUUCGGAGGAUUCGCCGCCGCCACGAGGCGGAACUUGAGCAGAACGAAUCUAGAGCUCCGACAGGACGAUCUUGCCGGGGAAACUUCCCUCCCGGAGGGGGAAAUCAUCGCCAUCGUCAUCACCAACACUCCUCUCAUCAAAGGGGACUCAUCACCAUCAACAUCUUCAUCAGCACCAUCUCAUCUCCAAACCCUAGUUCAUCUCUUGUGACCAAUCUCCGUCUCGCGACUCCGAUUGGUACUUGUAAGGUUGCUAGUAGUGUUAAUUACUCUUUGUAGUUGAUGCUAGUUGGAUUACUUGGUGGAAGAUUAUAUGUUCAGAUCCUUGAUGCUACUCAUUACCUCUCUGGUCAUGAAUAUGGUUAUUCUUUGUGAGUAGUUACUUUUGUUCCUGAGGACAUGGGAUAAGUCAUGCUAUAAGUAGUCAUGUGAAUUUGGUAUUCGUUCGAUAAUUUGAUGUGUUGUAUGUUGUUUUUCCUCUAGUGGUGGUAUGUGAACGUCGACUACAUAACACUUCACCAUUAUUUGGGCCUAAAGGAAGGCCUUGGGAAGUAGUAAGUAGAUGAUGGGUUGCUAGAGUGAAAGAUGCUUAAACCCUAGUUUAUGCGUUGCUUUCUAAGGGGCUGAUUUGGAUCCACUAGUUUAAUGCUAUGGUUAGACUUUGUCUUAAUUCUUCUUUUGUAGUUGCGAAUGCUUGCGAGAGGGGUUAAUCAUAAGUGGGAUGCUUGUCCAAGUAAGGGCAGUACCCAAGCGCCGGUCCACCCGCAUAUAAAACUAUCAAAGUAACGAACGCGAAUAAUAUGAACAUGAUGAAAACUAGCUUGACAGAAAUUCCCAUGUGUCCUCGGGAGCGUUUUACCUCCUAUAAGACUUUAUCCAGGCUUGUCCCUUGCUACAAAAGGGAUUGGGCCACUUUGCUACACCGUUGAUACUUUUGUUACUUGUUGCUCGCUGCGAAUCAUCUCACCACACAACUACUUGUUAUGGAUAAUUUCAGUGCUUGCAGAUAUUACCUUGCUGAAAACCACUUGUCAGAUCCUCCUGCUCCUCGUUGGGUUCGAAACUCUUACUUAUCGAAUGGACUACGAUAGAUCCCCUAUACUUGUGGGUCAUCAGCUGCGCGACCAAAAGCAGGUUGUCGUCAUGCUCGUGUAGUGGGUUGGUGGAGAUGAUAGGCUGCUCGACGUCCACUGGAGGCGCUGCAUGUGGUGUAGGAACCGUGGAAGGUGGUGUGUCUGGACAGAAGUGGCAGCGGAGGAGGAGUCUGCAGAGGUGGCGGGGGCGGCCGAACAGGGGCCCCGAGCGCGCAGCGCGAGAGGUUCGACGAAUGGCUCGGUGGCUCCUGGAUAAGGGUGAAGGUGGGGGCAUGUGGGUGCUGCUCCUAUUGGAUAUGGGUGAAGGUGGGGGCUGGCCGGCGUGGAAGAUGGAGAGGAGCGGGGCGCAGCUGGGGAGAGGCGCCAGGGAGGAGGGCGACGAGGGGAAGCGAGGGAGGCGCGGGGCGUGGUUGGCGAGUGGGUGGGGGAACGAAGAGGGUCUUCCCCUCGUGAUGGGUGGGUGAUACGUCCAUUUUUCAUCAUGCUUUCAUGUUGAUAUUUAUCGCUUAUUGGGCUGUUAUUUCACUUCACGGUACAAUACUUAUGCCUUUUCUCUCUUAUUUUGCAAGGUUUACAUGAAGAGGGAGAAUGUCGGCAGCUGGAAUUCUGGCCUGAAAAAGGAGCAAGUUUGAGAUGCCUAUUCCACGCAACUCCAAAAGCCAUGAAAAUCAACGUGGAUUUUUUUGGGAUUUAUAAAAAAUACUCGGCCGAAGAAGAACCAGAGGGGCGCCAACAGGGGGCCACAAGCCUGCUAGGCGCGGCCACCCCCCUGGCCGCGCCUAGGGGGCUUGUGGGCUCCCAGCUGGCCCUGUGGCUCCCCCCUUUUGCUACAAGAAGGGUUUCAGUCUGAAAAAAAUCGAGAGGAGGCUUUUGGAGGAUUUGCCGCCACCACGAGGCAGAACUUGAGCAGAACCAAUCUAGAGCUCCGGCAGGACGAUCCUGCCGGGGAAACUUCCCUCCCGGAGGGGGAAAUCGUCGCCAUCGUCAUCACCAACACUCCUCUCAUCGGAGGGGACUCAUCACCAUCAACAUCUUCAUCAGCACAUCUCAUCUCCAAACCCUAGUUCAUCUCUUGUAACCAAUCUCCGUCUCGCGAGUCCGAUUGGUACUUGUAAGGAUGCUAGUAGUGUUAAUUACUCUUUGUUGUUGAUGCUAGUUGGAUUACAUGGUGGAAGAGUUUAUGUUCAGAUCUUUGAUGCUACUCAUUACCUCUCUAGUCAUGAAUAUGAUUAUGCUUUGUGAGUAGUUACUUUUGUAAUUGAGGACAUGGGAUAAGUCAUGCUAUAAGUAGUCAUGUGAAUUUGGUAUUCGUUCGAUAUUUUGAUGUGUUGUAUGUUGUUUUUCCUCUAGUGGUAUUAUCUGAACGUCGACUACAUAACACUUCACCAUUAUUUUGGACUAGAGGAAGGCAUUGGGAAGUAGUAAGUAGAUGAUGGGUUGCUAGAGUGACAGAAGCUUAAACCCUAGUUUAUGCGUUGGUUCGUAAGGGGCUGAUUUGGAUCCACUAGUUUAAUGCUAUGGUUAGACUUUGUCUUAAUUCUUCUUUCGUAGUUGCGGAUGAUUGCGAGAGGGGUUAAUCAAAAGUGGGAUGCUUGUCCAAGUAAGGGCAGUACACAAGCGCCGGUCCACCCACAUAUCAAACUAUCAAAGUAACGAACGCGAAUCAUAUGAACAUGAUGAAAACUAGCUUGAGAGAAAUUCCCAUCUGUCCUCGGGAGCGUUUUACCUCCUAUAAGACUUUGUCCAGGCUUGUCCCUUGCUACAAAACGGAUUGGGCCAGUUUCCUGCACUGUUUCUACUUUUGUUACUUGUUGCUUGCUACGAAUCAUCUCACCACACAACAACUUGUUACCGAUAAUUUCAGUGCUUGCAAAUUUUACCUUGCUGAAAACCACUUGUCAGAUCCUUUUGCUCCUCGUUGGGUUUGACACUCUUACUUAUAGAAAGGACUAGAUAGAUCCCCUAUACUUGUGGGUCAUCAAGACUCUUUUUUGGCGCCGUUGCCGGGGAGUGAAGUGCCUUUGGUAAGUGGAACUUGGUAAGGAAACAUUCAUAUAGUGUGCUGAAAUUUAUUGUCACUUGUCACUAUGGAAACUAAUCCUUUGAGGGGCUUGUUCGGGGUAUCUUCACCUCGAACGGAAGCACAAUGAGUUGCUCCUCAACCUACUGCACCUACUGAAAAUAUUUUCUAUGAAUUUCCUUCGGGUAUGCUUGAGAAACUGCUGGCUAAUCCUGUUAAAGGAGAUGCAAAACAUCACAUCCAGACUUGCAUCUAAUCUAUGUAGAUGAAGUUUGUGGUUUAUUUAAGCUUGCAGGUUUGCCCGAGGAUGAGGUCAAGAAGAAGGUCUUUCCCUUAUCUUUGAGGGAUAAGGUGUUGACAUGGUAUAGGCUAUGUGAUGAUACUGGAUCAUGGAACUACAAUCAGUUGAAAUUGGAAUUUAUCCAAAAGUUUUAUCCUAUGCAUCUAGUACAUCGUUAUCGGAAUUAUAUUUAUAAUUUUUGGUCUCGUGAUAGAGAAAGCAUCACUCAAGCUUGGGGGAGGCUUAAAUCAAUGUUAUAUUCAUGGCCCAACCAUGAGCUCUCGAGAGAAAUUAUCAUUCAAGAACUUCUAUGCUCGGCUUUCUCAUGAUGAUCGCACCAUGCUUGACACUUCUUGUACCGGUUCUUUUAUGAAGAGAGAUAUUGACUUCAGAUGGAAUUUAUUGGAGAGAAUUAAACACAACUCUGAAGAUUGGGAGCUUGAUGAAGGUAAGGAGUCAGCUAUGAAUUUCAACUUUGAUUGCGUUAAAUCCUUUGUUGAAACAAAUACUUUUUGUGACUUUAGCGCUAGGUAUGGGCUUGACUCUGAGAUAGUAGCUUUAUUGUAUGAAUCAUUUUCUUCUCAUAUUGAUCUCCUCAAAGAGAAGUGGUUUAAAUAUCAUCCUCCCUUAGAAGUCAAUGUAGUUAAACCCAAUCGAGUUGAAGAGAGAUGUUAGAGCAUAUUUCUCCAUAUGUGGUUUUGGUAAUUAAUGACAAUCCCUAUGGACUAAUGGUUGCCUUAAGUUAUAUUUAUAGGAUUUGUGCAUAGACACUUCUUGAAGUCCAUCUGUUGGGUUCAAGGAGUUUAUAUGAUGACCAAGGUGGUAUUCAAGGUAUUAUCCAAAGAAUGGUCAUAGAGACACAAGGUUGAUCAAGAACGUUAGACAAAGAGUAAAUGAAGAUGAUCAACACACAAAGCGUACAAGAUGUACCGAGAGGGAUCAAGUGAUCCCAUGGUAUGGUAAGCAUUGUCCAUUACGUGUUUGUGUACUAACCCAUGGUCUUCGUGAGAAUUCUAUGUGGGGUUAGGUGUGUUUUCAUGGGCUUGCGUCUAGAGGAAGAUCUUAUACAACCCAUGAAGGAUGACGUCAAGUGGCGAUCGUCAUCAAGAUUGCGGCAUGCAAGUUUAAGUGGAUUAGCACGAAGAUAUCAUGCUUGGAGUUUGCCGUCCAUUGUGGUGGCAAUGGACUUGUGAAGAUAUGCUGAAGAGCGGCUCACCCAUAGUGUGUAUGGGGGAGCAAUCAACUAGUCUUCAUCAAGCCAAUGCAAUCAAGAAAGGUGGUCGAUCUUGAGGAAGCCAAGAUCAUCAUCAUCUAGCUCAAGAGGACGAGGUGCAAAGUAUAGGUUUGCCCUUGAUAGUUUUUCUAUUUUAGGAUAUAUUGCCGUACUAUCAAGGGGGGCUCUCAAGUGAGUUGCUUGAUCGUAUCGUUCGUUGAGAGCUCAAACCAUUUGCAUCCUUGCAUCAUACUUCUUGGAUCUUGUUUGGUGUUUCUCUUUGUGAGUUUCAGAGCUUAUGGUCAUCUUCAUGACAAGCCCGAGUUCAUCGAAAACGGAGUCCAUAUGCAUCUUUUAUGAUGUUUUCGAUGUUGGGAGUUUUAACCGGUCUUAUUCGAACAAGGGUUCUCACCAUUUUCUUAUGGGACUUUUCUCACUUGCUUCUUAUUGAUAUUUCUAUCAAUAUUGUGUUAGCCCAUGUCGUUAGCUUUCCAACAAACUUGGUUUCGUUGAAUUCGGAGUCCGUAUGCGAAUGUUACAGCAGUUUCAGUAUCCAGCGGUAGUACCGCUCCUGGUGCGAGCGGUAGCACCGGUCCUGUAGCGGUAGUACUGCCCCCGAGCGAUAGUAAUUUUUGACUACCGCUCCCUAGUGGUAUUACCGCUCGAGGAGCAGUAGUACCGCUCGUCAGCCUGUUUUUUGCAUCCUUUUUGGCCUCAGCAUGGUUGGUGAACCUACCGAGCGGUAGUACCGCUCCAUGAGCGGUAGUACCGCUCUCUACGGGCUGUGAGGCUUAACAGUUGGAUUUUUCCCCACCUAUAAAAGGGGGUUUCUUCCCCAUUGAACCUUAUCUCUUUGUAGCGACCCGACUCAAGAUGAGUCAAGCCUCUGUGUUUCUGUGCCAUCCCUGGAUCAGUAUGCUGGCACACACAGUACAUCAAUGUAUAUAUCAAAGUGCAAUCACAUGUAAAAUAGCGUAAAACUGAUAUAUACCUUAAUUAUCUCAGCGGAAGCGGUCAAGGGAGUGGAGUCCCAAUAAACACCAACGGCAAGUUGAGUGUAGACCGUAACCCUGAAUCGUACUCUUACUCGUCGAAGAAUAAUAUCUGCAACAUAAGACGUUGCAGCCGUGUAGGUUAGCAUAUUGAAUAUGCCGGCAAGUCACAUAAGAGAGGGGUAAAAUAAUAAUCAACUAUCUCUACAUGCAUAUUUGGUCGGUGUAGCUAAGUUUUGCAUAAAGCCAGUUUUAUCCUACAACAAGAGGGGUUGAAAGCAAAAUGUUACUACAAGGGUUGUUGUUAACGAGAUGGUUCCGCCAACCAGUUCUCGUACCCAAGUUGUCAAUAAUUCCCACAUCAAAUAUAUUUAAUGGUGUUGAGAAAUCCAGAUAACUUCUGUUCCUUUGGCUCAAGUCGUCCAUGACCGUGGACACGGCUAAUCGAUUAGGUUUGAGUACUCUGCAGAGUUUUGCACACGUUCCCCACAAGAUUUGAUCGCCUCCGAGUAUGUCCUCGCACUUUAGGGUGUUUGAAGACCGGAUGAUCAAAACAUGGUCUUUCAACGGGUCCCUCUGAAUCCCUGUCGGUGCCCAUCCAUUCCUACCGUUCGUCUACAUCUGCUAGCACGGCCUGUCCAGAGUCGCCGCGUUGUCCAACCAAGCCAGAGCCCAUAAUGACUUGUGGCUGUGCAGGUAAGCCUUGGGUCUUGAAAAUAUCCGUCCGUCCCUUUGAGCCUGGGUGAAGCUUUCGCAGGAUGACAUGGCCGUCCCCAGCAUCCCGGGCAUCCACUGGGUUUUCCAGGGAGCCGAUCAACCGUCCUUCACCCAGUGUUGCAUUGUGUCCGAGGUAUCGAAAAUCUUGUCUUAACCGGUCUUGAUUAUUUAAUCAACCUCGCAUCACUCGUGUUAUGCACUCAACCGAAUUCCCGUCUACUCAAGCAUAGCAUUAAGAAAUUGUCGUCCCGGGGCCAAGUAUCGGGGUUGUUGUGUGCCUACCACAUGAUACUACAAUCUAUACUAAAAUUUCCAAGUACCUAAGCAGCAUGCAAUUGGGCAUAGGAUGGUAGAACUACGAUGCAUAAAACAUAGGUGAUAGUAUGAUCAAAGUGACUUGCCUGUGAUGUUGACGAAGAAGAAU
rnacentral:lncRNA from 1 species